CUUCCACUCACUUUCUGCGACAUAUUCUGGUUCAAGUUUCCUCCUGUUGAGCGCCUCUUCUUUUACCAACUCGACGAGUUAACCCCUGCCUGUUUCAACUCAGUUAUCCUCCCAAAACUCAAGCGCUCUCUUUCUCUCACACUCGACCAUUACCUCCCCCUCGCUGGCAAUCUCAAGUGGCCACCAAACGAACCUAAACCCAUCAUUUUAUACACUCCAAACGAUGGAGUUUCCCUCACAGUUGCCCACUCCGAUGCCGACUUUAACAUCCUCUCCAGCGAUGGGGUCUAUGACGCUUCUGAGUUGCAUCCUCUCAAACCUGACCUCGUAACUUCAGAUGUUUCGGCAUCAGCUAUAGCUGUGCAACUAACCCUUUUCCCAAAUAAGGGGUUCUGCAUAGGAAUCACAGCUCACCAUGCAGUUCUUGAUGGCCAAACCACAACCAUGUUCAUCAAAUCUUGGGCUUAUAUAUGCAAGCAAGGCAACGAAGAGAACUCACCCUUGCCACCUGAGCUAACACCAUUUUUCGACAGGUCUGUUGUCAAAGGUCCUGAUGGACUUGACUUGUUAUAUUUGAACCAGUGGCUAGCUAGUAGCGGGUCAGAUUCAGAUACAAGUAAGAAAAGCCUGAAAAUCACGACAAGUGCAGGAGGAGGAGCAGCAUCAGAUCUAGUUCGAGCAACGUUUGAGAUUACUCGUGAAGAUUUCAAAAAGUUAAGGGAAAGGGUGUUACCUAAACUACCAGAUAGUGGGAAAGAAGUGCAUCUAUCAACUUUUGUUCUUUCGUUUGCUUAUGUAACAACUUGCAUGGUGAAAGCUAGAGGAGGAGAUGGAGAUAGAAAAGUUGCUUUCGCAUUCACAGCUGAUUGCAGGCCACGAUUAAACCCUCCUGUCUCACAAAACUAAUUCGGAAACUGUAAUAGACCUAAAUUUGAAGUGGCGAAAGCAAGGGAUUUCCUUGAUGAAAACGGGUUUGUGUUUGCUGUUCAGAAAGCAAGUGGGAUGGUUAAAGCUUUAAUGGAGAGAUGGGUUCUUGAAGGAAUGGAAAAGAUUCUAUCAGAUUGUUUCGAUGUUCUUAAAGAAGCAUCCGAGUCAAAGCUUCAAAUUAUAUCUGUUGCAGGGUCGCCUCGAUUUGGUGUUUAUGGAACAGAUUUUGGAUGGGGCAAACCCCAUAAGGUGGUAAUUGUUUCCAUUGAUAAGAGUGGAGCUAUUUCCAUGGCAGAAAGUAGAGAUGGGAGCGGGGGGAUUGAAAUUGGUUUGGCUUUGCAUAAGCACGAGAUGAACAAUUUUUCUUGGUUGUUUCCUAGAUGCGUUUAACGGGAGGGUUUAUUUUAAUUUAUUUUGUUGUUUUGUAAUGAUAUUUUAUUAAUAUUAUAUGAAAAUCAUGCUUCAUAUUAUGCUAUUUUUCAUUUAAGCAGAGGUCGAUUGCUCCACUUUAUGUUAUUUAAGCAGAAAAGAAAACAUGAGGAGGUGGUCGAUUGCUUACCCCACUUUUAUAUAUUUCUCCAAAUAAUACUUUAUUUGAUAUAUAUGUUAAGGAAAUUCCGAAAAACACUGAUGACUGAGAAGGGCCUUUAUUGGCUUCCACAAAAGCAUGUGCAUGCAUUAAUUAAGUGAUGGAGCCAUGUUAGCUGCAAGGGAGAAUUACCCAUAAAUGCCGGUAUGUUUGGAAAAUUACCUGAUUAGACUAGGUUUUCUAAAAUUUAUUGGAUUAGGCCAAAUUUGGAGAGAGAGAGAACGAAAAUGAGUGUUUUCCACAAUGCCUACCCCGCACCCCAACGGUCAAAUUAUAAUGUCUCCCCCACCCCCAACGGCUAUUUCAACGAAAUUUUAACCCCCCGUCUUUAAUCGGACCAUACUUGAGAGAUGCGAGAUUUUUGCAUAUGGCAUGUAUGGGUAGAUGGUGUAAAUUGGACCCUAUACUUAUAAGCGCGUUGGAGGAAAGAUGGAGACCCGAGAUGCACACAUUCCAUCUUACUAUCACACUCAAGGAUGUGUAGUUACAGCUAGGGUUAUCGGUGGAUGGGCCGAUAGUGAUUGGGUCAGUUGUCGCAACUAAUUGGAGAGAUGUCUGCGAGCAACUUUAGGAGAGGGUUCCAGACCUGAUUUAUGGAGCCUGGAUAGAUGCGAUGUAACAACCCGAUUUUGACCCUAAUCGGAACAGUGGUUUUGGGACCACAAAAUCGAGUCUGAAAAUAUUUUAAUAUUAUUUUCUGUGUUAAUUAUGUGUGAAUUUACAUAUGUGAAAGUUUCGUGAAUUAAUUUUAUGUUUGUGUGCUUAAUUUGAAAAAAAAGGGCUUAAUCGCGUAAAAUGAAAAUUUGAUGGUUAAUUAAGAAAGUGCCUAAUUGUUGUUGUCUUUAUAAGUUUGAGGCCUUAUGUUGUAAUUUAGCCAAUAGUAAUAGGUAGUAGAUGGCAUAAUGAUGAUAUGUAAUUUAUAUAUAUAAAAUAAAAGUUAAAAUAAUAAAAUAAUAAUAUAUGUUAUAAUAAAACAAAACAUUAAAAGCCACCAUUUUAUGUUCAUCUUUCUUCACCGAAUGUAGAAAAGAAAAACAAGGUUUGAAAGCUUGAAACAUUCGGCCAUUUUGAAGCUUAAUUCAAGGUUGGUUUUUGUUCGGUUUUUGAUAAUUUUUACGCUUUUUGAGAUCAUUGCUUUGAAUACUUCAAAACUCAUAUCUUAAUUUUGUGAAUUGUUGAUGAUUUUGAGAAAUGCCAUUGAUGAAUGCUUGAGCUUUGUGAUAGUUGAUGAUGGAAUAUGAAAGAUAUGUGAAAGAUUAGCAUGUUUUGUCUUUGAAUUUUUGAUGAAUUUGAGUAAUUAGGGUUUAAUUGUAAAAAUAAAAUUUUGAGGGACUAAAAUGUGAAAUAAAUGAAAUAUGUGGGCUUGUAUGGACACUAGGAAUAUUUGGCCCUUAAGGAGUGAAGUCAAAUUUUGUGUAUUUUGUGUUUUGAGCAAAAAGGACUAAAUUGUAAAAAGUGUGAAAUGUUAGGGGCAAAAUUGUAAUUUGCCUAUUUAUGUGUUUUUAGGUUAAAUUGAAUAGAAUGAUGUUUAAAUAAACUUAAUUUGAAUAUGCUUAGAUCAAGAAUUAAAGAAAUCAGAUUUGGAUCGGGGAAAUACAAAAGUGGUCGAGUAGCCGAUUUAACAGUCGACGACAUCCGAGGUAAGUCUAUUAGCAUAUAAAUGUUGUUGAAUUUGCAAAUAUAUAAAUGUUAUUUGUUGAAUUGAAUUUUAUGGAUAUAUAUGUGUAUUGGCCGAAUGUGUGAUAAGCCAGGAAGUUUUAUUUCGUGUUUGAUUCGAUCGAGAUACGUUGUCCGAGAGCCCGUACGAACCUUAGGAAUAGAUAGGAUACAUAUGUCAUGACAUAGGAUUUCCGAUAUGUGUUAUCGUGUAAGACCACGUCUGGGACGUUGGCAUCGACUUGUGUUUACGUGUAAGACCAUGUCUGGGACAUUGGCAUCGUAUUUGAUUCGUGUAAGACCCUAUCUGGGACAGUGGCAUUGAUAUGUGAUUACAUGUAAGACCACGUCUGGGACGUUGGCAUUGUACGAGUCUUUCGACUAUCCGAGUAUCCUUUUUAAUUCUGAAUGGUUCAACGGGCAAAGAUAAGUUGUGUACGAAUGUAUAAAUUAGGUUAAGUGACGAGGUAUGUGAUCGUUGAUUACCUAUUUGAAAAUAAGGUAAGUUGUAUACUUGAAUUGAUGAUAUGAAGUUAUGUGAAAUAUGAAUUAUGUGAUUGCAUAUUUGAAUAUAUAUGUAUUCGGCCUUUGAUGUAUAUGUGCAUUGAGGAAAGUGAUGAUUGUAUAUAUUAAUGUUCAGUUGAUUAUUCGGUAAAGAGGGAAGUUAUUACAAAUUAUAUAAGUUUUGAUAUAUAUAAAUUGAUAAAUUGAAUUAUAUGUGAAAUUAUAAUGAUUUAUUACUAAUUGUCUAGCUUAAUUUAUGUAAAUGAUUAAAUGUUUAUUUGCUUAUGGCUUACUAAGCUUUAAUAGCUUACUGUGUGUAAUCGCUUUCAAUUUUAUAGAUUUGGAAGUUGGUUAAGAGCACGGGAAUCGUCAGAGAAGUCUAUCACACUAUCAACUGUUUUCGGUAUUUUACUAAGUUUGAAUUUAAACUUAUGGCAUGUAUAGUCUAGUUAAUAUGUUUGAUUUUUUGGGUAUGUAAAUAUGAGCCAUGCAAAAAUGGCUCAUUUAUUUUGUUAAGCAUAGUUUUUAUACUUUUGAUCAAGUGAUAGAUAUGUUGAUUUUGGUAUUUCAGCUAUGGCAUAUUUAUUUAUGUGAAUUAUGUUUGAUAUGUUUUGUUAAGAAGGUGGUAAAUAAUUCGGCAUAGGUGAGCUUAGUUAAAGCAUAUAAGUGAAGUGAGUUUGGUAUAAUAUGUUAAUCUCUGAAUUGGCCAUGGUGUAUAUAUAUAUUAUGGUGUUUUAGUCAUGUGCUUCGGUAAUAAGGUAAAUGAUAUUCAAGCUUAAUUAAUCUUGGUUAUGUGUUAUAUAUAUAUAUGAUAUGUGUGAUAUGUUUGGUUUUAGUCUUAGUGUUUCGGCUAUGGUUUAUUUAUAAGUAAAUAUAUGUGAAUCUUGUUUGAUAUGCUUUGUUAAGGUAUUGUUAUGUAAUUUAGUAAUUAAGUGAACCCGGAAAUGGCAUAUUUUGACUUAUGAUUUAAUGGCUAAAUCUUGUACAAAUUAUGAGGUUAUUUAUGGAUGUCAAUUUGUUAUGAAAUAAAUUAGGAAUGUGGAGUAUUUAAUAAAGGUACGAUUUGCUCAUGCAAGUGGACUUAAUAUUCGAUUUUAUUUUUGUAAAAUGAUAUGAAUUGUAUGGAUUUUUUUUUUUUGAUAUGGCUAAAAUGGUGUAUUCAUAUGCGUAAACUUGUAAUAGAUAAAUAUGCAUGUUUUUGGUCUUUUAAAUGAUAUAUAUAAAUGAUUUCAAGGUAGAUUUAAAAUUUAUGAAUAAGAUGCAUACAAAUUCGGGUAAUGAUAGUUAAGUGAGCAAUACAAGUUUGAAUUUAGCUUUUAUAAAUUUAUUGGAUUAGUCGAUUAAAUGAUAAGUUGAUUUGUAUUGAGCGUAUAUAGUUUAUGAUUGAAUGAUUUCAUUGAAAUGGUCAUAUGUGUAUAAUAUAAUGACAUCAAAGGUAUGUACGACCAUAAUAUAAUGUUACUAACGUUGUAAAUGUGAUUGGACAUUAAGUUGUAUACAUAUUGGUUUCAUUAUGUACAUAUACAGAAGUUAUGAAAUGCAAUGUUUGAUAUUUAAAUAGUGAAAUUAUGUACGGACAUAUUUUCUAUAUAUGAAAAGUGAAGAUAUAUGCUUGAAUAUGAUUUAAUUAUGAAAAUGUCAUUAAUACGAUGGAUUUAGGGAAAUCGAAUAUUGAAAGUAUUAUAUAAUUUAACAUGACUCUGAUGUAUACAAGUUUGGUUCGAAUUUGUUAAUUAUAGAAUAUGUUCGAUUGAGCUUUGAUGUAUGUUUAAAUUGAAUUAGUUUGAAUUUUGAAAUGUGUUUAUUUGUGAUACAUGCUUAGUAAGGUAUGAUUGAUUUGAAUUGUAAUUAUCAUUUUAUAUAUUUGAAUUUAAAAUAAGUAAAUUGAGGAUAUUCAAGUUUGAUAAUGUUAUAAAUGUAUCGUUAUUCUUUGGUGUAUGAAAAGAGAUAAAUGAUUGUGCUGAACUGUGUCUUGUUCCGUAAUGCCUCGUAACCCUAAUCUGGUGACGGAUACGGGUUAGGGGUGUUACAUGCGAAUUGAUUGAAAAGAAAUUUUUUUGGGCUCAAUGCAAAGUCAAGUAAAGUUGGAAGAGUGUCAUAUUGUAGUUUGGUUUGGUAAACUUUGACGUUUGGCUAGUUAAUUAAGGAAAUAAGUCUAAAUCGUAAAAGGUGUAAAACUUAGUCUCUAUUGAUUGCUAUUAGUUAAAAUGUGUAUUUAAUGUUUGUUUAAGGAUCUAAAUGGUAAUUAUACCCUUUUUAAGGUUAUUGGACGGUUUGUGGAGGAAAUUGAAUUAAAUUUAUGUGUUUUAUAAUAUUAAUUUUAAAUUAAACAAAAGUUAAAACAAGUAAAACAAGUUUUCGUCUUCUUUAUUUUUUUUUCCAUCGAAAAACCAAACAUAAAAACACCAUGGAUAAAGCUUAAGCUUUGGCCAAAUGCAUGUAAGUGAAUUUCUAAUCCGUUUUUCAUAAAUUUUAUGUCAUUUAGGUUGUUGUAGUUUAAUCUAGCUAGCCUAGGGUCUAUUUUGAAAUACUUUCAAAGUUUAAAAAAUUUACCAUUGAUGUUCUUGAAGCUUUUUAGAUGUUAAUUCUUUAGUUCGAAGCUUGAUUAUGAAAUAGGACUAUUUUGUAAAGUGAUUUUGAAUGGUUUCAAAUUUAAGGACUAAAAUAAUAAAAUUUUGAAUUUAGCAUGAAAUUCUUGUAAAAUUUCAUUAAUUAUGGGUUGUAAAAGAGUAAAGGUGAAUUCAGCCUAAGGGUUUUGGGCUUAAUUUUUUUUAAAAAAAUAAGUUUCAAUUUAGGGACUAAAGUGAAUAAAAGAUAAAAGUUUAGGGAAAAUUGCUAAAUAGUCCUCAGCGUGGUGUUAUAAUGAUGGAAGGAGUAUGAGAAUUUAGUUAAAGUAUGAGAAUUUAGUUAAGGCCCGUGUGAGCUUAGUGAAUGAUUAAGAUACAAAUGACAUGUUAUUAGGGUUUAUCAAGCAUUAUGUAUCACUGACCAUAUUAUUAGGUACUUUGUACCGGUGAUAUAUUUAUGGUUCAUGUGCAUAUCAUGUUAAUAGAUAGUAUGGAAUGAUGUACUAACCUAUUUGGUUAUAUAAGGUGAUUACGGAAUGAUAAGCAUGUAUGUUAUUUGCAUUAAGUAAAUUAUGAAAUGCUAGGUACAUUGUGCUUAAAUUUUAUACGAACUUACUAAGCUUUAAGUAAGCUUAACUUGUUUCAUUUUCUUCCUUAUAGAUUGUCGGAUUCAUGUUAUCAAUUGGAUCGUCUUUGGAGAAUCACACUAUCUGUCAACUCUUUUGGUAGAUUUUUAUCCAUUUUGGAAUAGGGUAUAAAUGGCAUGUAAAUAGGUGUUUUGGUUACAAAUGUACAUAUAUGCAAGUUGUGGGUUGAAAUAGUACAUGAAUGUUAAACUGGUAUUUUGGCUAAGUUGGUAGCUUUAUGGAUAUGAAAGUCUAUUUAUAUGAAAUUCUUUGAUCUUGCUCUAUAGGUUAUAAGGUACUAUGGAAUGGAUAGGUAUGGCAUGUAAAUACAUUAGAUGUUAUAUGUUUGAGCUCUUAUGUAACACUUCGGGUGAAGUAGAUUUUGAAUGGUUAAGUUAGGUUAUGUGGUCCAUAAGGUAAGGUUAUGGUAAGUUUUUAUAAAUGCUACGUUUUGGUAUUUGAAAUGAUGAUAAUGUGAAAAUGUUUUCGUAUGUGAUUUUUGGUAUGAAUGAUGAUGAAUGUGUGAUUGUAAAUGGUUCAAUUGAGGUGCCAAGUGUGGCAUAUUGGUUAGGCACUUAGGAUGGAUGUUUUAAGGUGUGGUUUUGGAAUAUAUUUUUAUGUUUUUUUAUCAGGUUGAUUUAUGGUUAAAUGCUUACUUGUGGCUUAAGUGAACCUAGGAUGUUGUUGCUUGGUUUAGAAGGUAUUUUAGGUGCACACAGUCUAAUACACGGUCUGCCACAGGAUAGUGUGCCAUACAUGGGCAUAUGGCAUGGCUAUGUGGUCUAUUUAAUUUAGGUGCUCAUUGGUCCACACAGCUACAGUUUGUUACACGGCCUGGCAACAUAGCCAUGUGACCCAGUCUUACAUAGCUUUAGUUUGUUUCACGGCUUAGACAUACAACCAUGUCUUCUAGCAUCAUAGGCCAUCAGCCUGUCACAUGGCCUGGCCACCCUACAAUGUGACCCAUGUUUUUACUUUUUACUUAUUAUUUCAUAAAAGUUUCAAAUUAGUCUUGAUUUGUUUUCGAGUUGGUUUAAAAGCUUCGUAAGCUCAAUUAAGGCUCGGUUUUGGUUAUAAAUCAUAUUACAAUGAUGUGGUUGAAUGCUUGAUGCUUUAAUUUGAUAUUUAAGUUGAAUUCUUGGAUGAUAGAUGUUGUUAACUGUUGUAACAUCUUGUAGCUCGGGUCCGACAAUCGAAUUAGGUUAGGUGUGUUACAUUAUAGGUUUAUUAAAGUUCAAUGGUUAAUACUAUGUCGUGCUACUGAACGUGUCCGAUAAUUUUCUAAACUUCACAAUUGACUUCAAUCGUCGUUCACAACCAUCAUUGCCCUUCCAAUUGAUUCCACUUCUUCUGGGAUCUUGCCAUUUAUCACAUUCCUUCAUAAUUUGGUUUCUUACACGAACACAACUGAAGAGAUAUCCUCGAUUGAGGCUGUUAUAGGUUAAAUUGAAUAAGGCAUAACAUUCAUCCCCUAUUGAUCCCUCACUUUGGGAAUUGAGGUUGCAUUUGAAAGUUUCUAUUUUGUCAUCGAUUUUUAUAAUAACCUUGUUUUGCUCGAGAUCGAUAGUCGAUUUAAAAGUGGCCAAAAAGGGCCUACCCAACAGAAUGGGGAUUUCCCAAUUUUCCUUAAAGUCAAGGACUACAAAGUUUAUGAAGAUUAUGAAUCCCUACCUUAACUAAUACAUCCUCAAGUACACCUUUCGGGUGCACUAAAGAUCUAUCGAUAAGUUGUAGCAUUAUUGAGGUGUUCUUGAGAUCCCCAAGCCUGAGGUUCCGAUUGAUCAAAAGGGGUAUUAAAUUUAUGCUAGCCCCUAAAUCGUAGAGGGCCUUGCUAAAGUGUCGAUCCCCUAUCUCUAUUGGAAUUGCGAAACUACCUGGAUCUUUUAAUCUUGGGGUAUCUUAUUUGCGAUUAGCACGUUAUGCGAAGCAUCAAUGUCAAUUUGCUCGCCUGUUUUCAUUUUCCUAUGUUGUUUCAUAAUUUCUUUUAGGUACUUGGCAUAUUUUGGAAUUUUAUUGAUAAGCUCUAAGAGCGGUAGUUUGACAUUGAGGGAUUUAAAUAAAUUCAGAAAACAUAACAAAUCAUUCUCAUCCUUUUUUUGCUUGUCUUCUAGUCUUGUCGUGAAUGGUGUUGUCUUUGUGCUUUGAGUUGAGACUACUAGAUCAGGCACCGGUUCGUCUACCUCUUCGAUUGGCUCUUGAUCCUUGGCUUCUUCCUCCCCCGUGUGUUCAUCGACGUCUUCUGGAAUCACUUCCUCUUCAUGGAUGGGCCUGCUUGGCGAGACUUCAAUUCCUUGCCCGAUAGCAAUGUGAUCGCCUUUAUGUGUUCCUUUCCAUCUCUCCGAGGAUUAUUCUCCGUCUGGCUGGGGAGACCCUGACCACUUUGUUUUUGAAGCAUCAACAUUAACUGGCUCAUUCGGUCGUAAAGAUUAUCCAUUUUGGAUUUGAGUCAUCCACAUGUAGCUUGGUUUCCUCUCCACUUGAGGUUCACAUGAUCUAUCAAACCAAGAUUAUAGGUAUUUGAAUAGGGAUAUCGACCCCUAUUAGCUACAUAACUUGCUUCUUCUGGUUGGUCCUCAUAAUUUGGCUCCAUUCUUAUCGGCUUGACAAGCGUCUCCAAACGAUUGAGCUUCUCUAAGAUUUGUUGGAAUCAAUCAUCGUCGUUUUCUUUGUUCACCUUUUCUUCGUCCUCAUAAUUUGUACAUAAACCUCUCAUUGGGCCAUAUGUACAAGUUCAUAGUCAUAUCUUUUAUGAUUUUGUAGGCUCGUUUGUACGUAUGAAACAUGAGAGAUCUGCCAGAUGCUUCAUCUAAGCUAGAUUUAAUGUGUCAAUCAACACCGUUAUAGAAAAUUUGUAUUUAGAGCCACGCUUGCAGUCUAUGGUGUGGGCACUUCCCUAUCAUUGUCUUGAAACGCUCCCACUCCUCAUACAAGGUCUCACAUUCGUAUUGGUUAAAGUUGGUGAUUUCUCCCCUGAGUUGUAUGGUUCUACUUAUCAAGAAAAGUUUAUAAAGAACUUUUUCUACUAGAUUGUUCCACGUAGUAAUGGAACCUGGUUCUAAUGAGUCUAACCAAUCGGCCGCGUUGCCACACAUAUAAAAUGGAAAUAAUCGAAGACUCAUAGCAUUAUUAUAUGCCCCGUUGUACUUGAAGGUGUCAUAUAGUUGUAAGAACCGAUUCAAGUAUUGGUUCGGAUCUUCCACCAUGUUCUCCUUGAAUUACAGCAUGUUUUGGAUCAUUAGAGUUGUGUCCCGAAAGCACCAUUUUCGAUCAUACUAGAAAACGAACUAAUUAGUAAAUCCUUAUUUAAUUAGGAUUUAAUUGCAAUUUACCACAAUCUAGAGAGUUCUACAUCAUUCCUAUUAUUAGGUCAUUUAGGGAGGUCCAAUUAUAAAAUUGGUCCUUCAAUUAUAUUAAAUUCCAAUUAAACAAACUUAUUUACAAUUUAACCUUAAAAUAGUUAGGACUAAAUAAAUAAAUAACCCAAAAGUUAGUAGAGUGAUUGACAUCCACCACCGCUUGGACUUUUUGACCAUGGUUUAAUCACCAUUUUGGUCCCUUUACUAUUUUAAAUCUAUAGUAAUUAAGUUUUACCUCUUUUACAAUUUAAUCCUUUUACCUUAAUUAAGCAAUAAAUCAUCAAAAUUUCCAGACCAAACUUCAAUUCACAUAUAAUACAUCUCUGAAAAUAUAUAAUAAAAAUAUUUACAACCUUAAAUUACGAAAAUGGGUUCCAAUACCUCAUUUUCACAAACUACUCGACUUUUGAACCGAACCACUUAUACUAACUUUUAAUUUAAUUAGUUAAAAUUCCUUAAAUCAAAAUUUAAUAUAAAAAUUAUUAUUGACUCAUAAUUUGUGUAUUAAUUAUAUGAACUUACUCGUCGGAUCUGUAUUCCUGAAACCGUUGUUUCCGACACUAUUGAAAAAUGGACUGUUACAACUCUCUCACCCUUAGGAAAUCUCGUCCUCAAAAUUUUAUCUGAAAAUAGAAUCGAGUAUUGUGACUUCUUCAAUUACUCACCUUAUUUCCAAACUGAAAAAUAAUUAUUGGAGCUUGCUCUCACCGUCAACGAUGUUUCGGCCCUUUUUAGAAGAAGACAUAAAAUUCAUAAUCAAUUUAACUUUUAUUUCAUUUAAAUUUCAUUUAUUUACUUAAUUACUAUUUUACCCUUAAUUAAAUCAUCGAAUUUUAGCUACACGGAAGCCAAACCCCUUUAAUUUAUCUUUUAACUAAUAAAUUUAUAUUUUCCCAUAUUUACAAUUUAGUUCUUUUUACUUAAUUAAUAAUCCAAACAUUAAAAUUUUUUAACCAAAUUUUAAUAUGAUGCUAAUGACCUCAUAAAUAUCAAAUAAUUAAUUUUUAAAGCUUGACUCAUCAGGGUUGUGGCCCGAAACCACCACUUCCGAUCAUACUAGAAAACAAACUAAUUAGUAAAUCCUCAUUUAAUUAGGAUUUAAUUGCAAUUUACAAUAAGCCAGAGAAUUCCACAUCAUUUCUAUUAUUAGGCCAUUUGAGGAUGGUCCAAUUAAAGAGUUGGUCCUUCAAUUAUAUUAAAUUCCAAUUAAAUAGACUAUUUACAAUUUAAACUUAAAUUAAUUAGGACUAAUUAAAUAAAUAACCCAAAAGUUAGUGGAAUGAUUAACAUCCAUCACCGCUUGGACUUUUUGACCAUGGUUUAAUCACAUUUUGGUCUGUUUACUAUUUUAAAUCUAUAGCGAUUAACUUUUACAUUUUUUACAAUUUAAAUUUUUUACCUUAAUUAAGUAAUCCAAACCACACUUCAAUUCACAUAUAAUACGACUCUGUAAAUACUUAAUAAAAAUAUUUACGACCUUCAAUUAUGGAAACAUUGUCCCAAUACCUCAUUUUCACUCAACUUUUGAACCGACCACUUAUGCUAACUUUUAAUUUAAUUAGUUAAAAUUCCUUAAAUUAAAAUUUAAUAUAAAAAUUAUUAUUGACUCUUAUAAUUUAAAUACUAAUUAUACGAAUUUACUCGUGGGAUUUGUGGUUUUAAAACCACUGUUUUCAACACCACUAAAAAACAAACUGUUACAACUCUCCCCUCCUUAAAAAAUUUCGUUCUCGAAAUUUAAACCAAAUCAUUACACAAUUAACAAUUCCAAUUAAAUUAAUAUUUUUUAUUAUUUAAAUAUUCAAAUUGACUAGAAAAUCGAAUUUAAUAAUUUAAAUGGUACCGUAAUUUAUUUAAUUAAAUAUUAAAUAAAUGGAUUUAAUAGAAAUUAAAUAGAAUAAGAAUAGAAUUUAAUAGAACGAAAUUUUUAUCUAAAAAUAGAAAUUGUGACCUUUUCAAUUACUCACCUGAUUCCAAUUAAUACUGUACUAUAGUUAUUAGAGCUUGCUCUAACCUUCAAUGUUGUUUCGGACCUUUUUUUUUGAAGAAAACGACAUGGAAUUCAUAUCCAAUUUGACUUUUAUUUCAUUUAAAAUCCAUUUAUUUACUUAAUUACUAUUUUACCCGUAAUUAGUUUUAGUUAAAUGAAAGCCAAAACCGUCCGCUAUGGAUAAUGGUGGUUUAUUUACUAUUCAAACCCCUUUAAUUUACCUUUUAACUAAUAAAUUUAUCUUUUUUAUAUUUACAAUUUAGUCCUUUUUCCUGAAUUAACCAUCCAAGCGUUAAAAGUUCCUAACCAAAUUUUAAUACGAUGCUAAUGACCUCAUAAAUAUUAAAUAAUUAACAUUUACAUCCUCACACAUUGGAUUUGUAGCCCGAAACCACCAUUUCUAAUCAUACUAGAAAACGAACUAAUUAGUAAAUCCUUAUUUAAUUAGGAUUUAAUUGCAAUUUACCACAAUGUAGAGAACUCCACAUCAAUUCUAUGAUUAGGUCAUUUAAGGAGGGUCCAAUUACACAAUUGGUCCUUCAAUUAUAUUAAAUUCCAAUUAAACAAACUUAUUUACAAUUUAGCCUUAAACUAAUUAGGACUAAAUAAAUAAAUAAUCUAAAAAAGUUAGUGGAAUGGUUGACAUCCACCACUGCUUGGAUUUUUUGACCAUGGUUUAAUCACCAUUUUCGUAAACUAUUUUAAAUCUAUAGCAAUUAACUUUUACCUCUUUUACAAUUUAAUUCUUUUACCUUAAUUAAGCAAUAAAUCAUAAAAAUUUUCGGACCAAACUUUAAUUCACAUAUAAUACGACUUUACAAAUACUUAAUAAAAAUAUUUACGACCUUAAAUUAAGGAAACGGGAUCCCAAUAUCUCAUUUUCACAAACCACUCGACUUUUGAACCGAACCACUUAUACUAACUUUUAACUUAAUUAGUUAAAAUUCAUUAAAUAAAAAUUCAAUAUAAAAAUUAUUAUUGACUCAUAUAAUUUAAAUACUAAUUAUACGAACUUACUCUUCGGAUUUCUAAUUCUAAAACUAUUGUUUCCCACACCAUUAAAAAACGAAUUUUUACAACUCUCCCCUCCCGGAGAAAUUUCGUCGAAAUUUUUAUGUGAGAAUAGAAUCAAAUAUUGUGAAUUCUUCAAUUACUUAGUUGAAUCAAGAUUCUACGAUAAUUCAACGGUGUUUCGGCCCGUUUUGAAAGAAUAAGACAUGAAAUUCAUAGCCAAUUUGACUUUUAUUUAUAUAAAUUUCAUUUAUUUACUUAAUUACUAUUUUACCUUAAUUAACUCAUGAAAGUUUAGCUAAAUGAAAUUCAAAACCGUCCACUAUGGAUAAUGGUAGUUUAUUUACCAUCCAAACCCCUUUAAUUUACCUUUUAACUAAAAAAUCCAUAUUUUUCUAUAUUUAUAAUUUAGUUCUUUUUAUUUAAUUAAUCAUUCAAACAUUAAAAUUUUUUAACCAAAUUUUAAUACAAUGCUAAUGACCACGUAAAUAUUAAAUAAUUUAUAGUUACGGCCUCACAUAUCAGAGUUGUGGCCCGAAACCACCAUUUUUAUCAUACUGGAAAACAAACUAAUUAGUAUAUCCUUAUUUAAUUAGGAUUUAAUUGCAAUUUAUGACAAGCUAGAGAAUUCCACAUCAUUUCUAUUACUAAGCCAUUUAAGGAUGGCCUAAUUAUACAAUUGGUCCUUCAAUUAUAUUAAAUUCCAAUUAAAUAGACUUAUUUACAAUGUAGCCUUAAACUAAUGAGGACUAAAUAAAUAAAUAACCCAAAAGUUAGUGGAAUGGUUGACAUCUGCCACCGCUUGGACUUUUUAACCAUGGUUUAAUCACCAUUUUUUUCACUUUACGAUUUUAAAUCUAUAGCGAUUAAUUUUUACCUCUUUUACAAUUUAAUCCUUUACCUUAAUUAAGCAAUAAAUCAUCAAAAUUCUCGGACCAAACUUCAAUUCACAUAUAAUACAGCCCUGUAAAUAUUUAAUAAACGUAUUUACGACCUUAAAUUACGGAAAUGGGGUCCCAAUACCUCAUUUUCAUAAACUACUCGACUUUUGAACUAAAUCACUUAUACUAACUUUUAAUUUAAUUAGUUAAAAUUCAUUAAAUAAAAAUUCAAUAUAAAAAUUAUUAUUGACUUGUAUAAUUUAAAUGCUAAUUAUACGAAUUUACUCGUUACAUUUUUUGUCCCGAAACCACUGUUUCUGAUACUACUAAAAAAUAUAUUUUUAUAGUAAAUAUGUUAUAUGUGCGAGGAUGAUAUGUAUGAAGUAUUGUAUGAAUAGAAAGUUGAAUGGUAUGUAUGUUGGUAACACUUGGUAUAGGAAAGUACAAAUCGGUCAGGUAUGUGAAUAAAUUUGAGUAAGAGAAUGAUGAUUAAAAUAUCCCUUUACGAUGGCUCUGGUAAGGCAGUUAUAUUGCUAACCAAAUUGGCAGAUCAUGAUACGAAAAUAAGUGUAAGACUACGUGGCUGAGACCCAUGGCAUAAUAUGAUAUUAAGACACUCAUGGUGAUGCCUCUAGUAAGAUGAAGGUUGGACUGAUAGAUCACCAUAGGAGAAUGUGUAAGUCCAUGUGGCUGAGACCCAUGGCAUAAUAUGAUAUAAAGACACUCAUGGUGAUGCCUCUAACAAGAUGAAGGCUGGACUGGUAGAUAUGAUUGUAAUAGCCCGAUUUUUAGUGAUGUCGAAAACAGUGGUUUGAGACCACCAAAUUCAGAAAAUGAGCUCAAAAUUUUAUUAUUUAAUACUUACGAGCCAAAUGUGGUUUUUAAAAGAUUUUUAAAUUAGUAAAUUUGUGGUUAUAAGGAUUUAUUAAAUUAAUUGAUUUAGAAAAUGAGGUAUCGAGACCUCGAUUUUAUAAACUGAGCCGUAAAUAUUUUUAUAAAUAUUUACAGAGUGUCAUUAAGGUAGUAUUAAAAUUUUUUUAGAAAAUUUUAACUUUUUGGUGGUCAAUUAAUUAAAAAGGAUUAAAUUGAAAAAGGUGUAAAACUUGCUAAAGUGAUUAAAUAGCUUAACAAUUAAAUAAGGGAGGAAUAAAAGGGAAAAUGGACCCAUUUUAAAUGGCUAAGGCGGCCUAGCCUAAAAAAUAUUAAAAAAAUCAAAGAUUUUAUGUGAUUAAGGGCAAAAUUGGAAUUAAAAUAAAGUUUAUAUCGCCAAAUGUGAUUCUAAUAGUUUCUAGACAUUUUCUUCAUCAUUUUUCUGUCAAAAAUAGACAUUAAAGAGGGUUUAAGCUGGUCUUUCAUAUUUUAGCUUCAUGUAAGUUUAAUUCUUGCUUUUUCCUUGAAAUUUUUAUAUUUUUGGACUUUUACAACUAGGUCCAACUUUCUAUUUCAUUAGUUUUUGGAUUUUGUUGAAAGUUUUGGAAGUUACCGUUGAUGAAUUCAUAUGAUUUUAGUUAUUAGAUCAUGAAAUUGAGAUCUUGGUGGAUAUUUAAAGGUAUUUUAUUAAGGAAUUUUGGAUGAAAUCAUGAAUUGGGGGGUUAAAUUGUGAAAAUGCUAAAUUCGUGGAAAAUUAUGAUUUUUGUGAAAAAUAUGUGCUGUUAUAGUUACAUAUAAAAUUUGGAUAGGCUUGGAAUAAGGGUUAAAUUGCAUGAAUUUCAUUUUCUGAGCCUAGGGAUGAAAUUGUUAUUUCAUAAAAGUAUAGGGGAAAAAUAGUAAUUUUACCUAAGAUGUGACUUGGAUAGAAUUGAAUUUAAAUUGUAAUAAAUUAAUGUUAAAUUUACUUUUAUAGAUCAGGAUAGACCAAAUACGGAGCUAGGUCGUGGUAAAAAAAGUAUCGGAUUAGUAGUUUUCAACUCACGAACAAUUGUCGAGGUAAGUUCGAGUAACUAAAUUGUGUAUAUUUAUAUGCUUAAAAUUGAAUGUUGAAUAUGUAAAUUGUAUAAAUGUCAUGUAUGUGUAUAUAAUUUACCUCAUAUCCGACAAUUCUAAAUAAAUAAAUAAGUUCUGAUAAAAUGAAUGAAACUCGAUUGGAUACAGAGUUUUGUUUCCCAAAAUGGUAAUGUUCUUGCAUAUGUUGCGGACGUACCGUAGCUCAAUAGAGCGACCCGUUACAAGCCCUCUCAAGCUUCCCAUUAUAGUGUUCUUGCGAGCUUCCCGUUAAAUGCUCUUCGGAGCAUCCUGACUGGUUGUGUUCUGCAUAUGUUGUAGACACACCCACGCUCUUAUGGGCGUUUUGUUUAUAGGUUCUUUGUGAACCUCCUGUUAAAGUGCUCUUCGGAGCUUCCCAUUAGUGCUCGCUUGAACUUCCCGUUAUAUAGCUCUCCUGUGCUUUCUGAUUAAGUGCUCUUCAGAGUUUUCCGUUAAGUGCUCUUAGGAGCUACCCGUUAUAGGCUCUUUGUGAGCUUCCCGUUAUAUUGUCCGGAUAAGCUUCCCGUUACAUGGCUCAAUGAGCUUCCUGUUAUAGUGUUUGAGAGAGAGAGCUUUCUGUUUAAGUGCUCUAAUGAGUACUCUCAGACAUGAAUUGACAGAUUUUUAAUUUGUACACUUUAUGUGUACUACCUUCGUAUCCAUCGAGGUUUCAAAUGAUUCAACGAGUGAUAUUCUAACAUGAAGACAAGUGAAAAUCAAAAAUGAAAUCAAUAUCUGAAAAAAUACAUGAAAUGCAGGGAACUUGGUAUUGGAUGAGCUCAUCUUUGUUAUUGAUAUUUACAUGAAUCGAAUAACUAACAUAUUUGAUGAGAUUGUGUGCUUAGGCUAUGGCCAAGUUGUUUGGAAUGCAUGUGUAUGUUUACUUAAUGUACAAAUGAAUGGUAAGUUUAUUUCCCGUUAUACGAACUUACUAAGAACAAAGUGCUUACUCGGUUUUAUUUCCUUUGUUUUAUAGUACUCGAAAGGUCGUUGUGUUGGAAGCUUGGCGGAGAUCAGUCAUACUAUCCAUCGUCUCACUUUGGUAUAAUUAUGAAAUUAUUUUUGGAUAUAAUGGCAUGUAUACGUUUGGUUAGCCAAAGUUAGCAUACAAAUAUUUUGGUUGUAAAUAACCAUUGGAAUGGCCUGUGAUGAAUGUGUUUUGGUAUAUUAACAUAUGAGUUAAUUUCAUGUUUGGUAUAAGUGCUUAAUUUGGUUUAUGAAUAUUAGUAUGGUAUUAAGUAAAUGUGGUCAACUAGAUAAAUUCACAAACAUGUAUUUAUGAAGUGAUAUGGUAUGUAUGAGACUUGAGUUUUGCCUGAUUUUAAAUAUUUUGGAUUGGCUUUUGGAUGUGUUAAAAUGUUUGUGUAGGUGAAUGAUCAAAUAGAUGAGAAAUAAGGCUACAAAAUGGCCUUAUUUUAUCCACACGAGCAGAUACACGGGCGUGUGUCUCAGCCGUGUGUGACACACGGCCUAGCACAUGAGUGUGUGUUCUAGCCGUAUGUCCCAUACAUCUAAAAAUUCAAAAUAGAAUACUCGUUAUUUUUCACACGACCUGACACACAGACGUAUAACUUGGCCGUGUGUCCCCGUCACUUAAUUAAGUUGCAAGUCAGAGAGUUACAUGGGUUAGGGACACGGGCAUGUGCCCUACCUCAUACGCCACACGGCUUGAAACAUGGGCAUGUCACUUGGCUGUGUGAGCCACACGGCCUGACUACACGGGUAUGUGACCUUUGAACCUAGAAAAAUUUUUAAAAUUUUGCCAAAUUUUUUUUUAGUUUUUGAUUCAGUCCCGACUCGUUUCUAAUAAAUGAUUUGGGCCUCGAUGGCCCAUAGAAUGGACAAUAAUGUUAAAUUAUAAUUAAUUUUCUGAUACUAUUGUGAAAUAACAUAAAAUAUCUGAAUAUGAUCUAUAAACUUUAGUAAUGCUCCUAAACCUUGUUCCGACGACGGAUACGAGUUAGGGGUGUUACAAUGAUAGUAUGAUAGUCUGUCCUUGCGGCUGAGACCCAUGACAUGAUAUGAUAGUAUGAAUAGUCAUGGUGAUUUCUUUAGUAAUAUGCAAAUCGAACUGGCAAAUCAAGACAUGAAAAUAUGUACAAGUCCAUGAGGAAAAAAUUCAUGGCACUUUCUAUGAAAGUCCAUCGGGACAGUAAACACUUGAAUUUCUAUGUUGCCUAUCUGGCAUGAUCUGCUAAACCUUUGUGGCGUAUUCUAUAUAGCCUAUGUGGCAUAUUUUGUAUGGCCAUUGUGGCAAAUUAUGAAUUGUAUCAUUAGCAUAUUCGUUAAUGUCCAUAUGGUAGAAUAUGGUUAUCCGCCCCUAUAGUAAAUUCUAGAUAAGUUUUGAGAGUUCUCUGAUAGAUAAGUUUAUGAUAAGGAUAUGUUACGUAUGAAUUUAAUUUAAUUUGAUUAGUUCUGUGCUGUAGUCGUCGAAUGCGGUUUAAGAAAAGUUCCUGGAAGAAUAUAUGUAUUUGUAUUGUUAAUAGGAGUAUUUGCCAUAGUAACCUACCAGUUUAGAAUAUGGGAGUAUUCUUAGAUAUGGAAGAUAUAAGUAUUCGUUUAUUUGAUUUUGUCUCUGUAAAAUAGAGAUGAAAUUUUUGUCAUUUGGUAUUGGCCAUGUCUAAAUGGCAUCAUGUCUGGUUCUGGGAUCUUAUGGAAUCUGAGUUGUUGCCAUCUUGGGUUUUCUUAUGUUUUGUAACAAAAGUGUUUGGAAUAUUUUUUAAGGAUCUGGAUAGUUCAGAAUCAGUUUGAGUAUAUGUUGGCCUUUAAACUAGGACAUGACCUGUUGGGCAAACUGAUAGCAUCAUACUCAGUAUAGGAAUUUGCUAAAAAUGUGAAUUCAGUUAGUAAGUUUCUGCCAGUGAGUAGUAUCUGUGAAUAUCCAUUCUAGAAAAUGUUUGUAUGAAGAGUAAACUUGUAUAAAGAGGGUUCGAUAGAAAUAUUCCUUUGAGAAGUAUCUUUCUUGUUCUAUGAGAAAGAAGAUAACAAUAUAUUGUCUGAUAAGACCUGAAGGUAGCCAAUUAGUAAAAAAGAAAGUUGAUAUGUUAAGUAUGGUGGUUGGCGUAUACGUGCAAGACUAAUAUUAUGAAAGUGUUUGCCCCAAAACAUAUACGACAGGUUAAGUAUGAAACUGGCGUGCAUGAAUACAACUGAAAUUAUAAAAGUACCCACCAAGGUAUUCUAUAUUAAAGCUCACUAAGUUCUCUUGAAAUUAAAUAUUGUCAAAACCAUUUUUUUUCUGAAAUCGACUUUAUUUUGCAAAAGAGAAUGGGAGUCGGCACCAAUCUUUUUUAAGAGGUGUGAUCGGGUUACUUUAUAAUUUGAUCGUUUUAAUAAGAGAUUUGAUUUACUAAAAUAAAGAUUUUUGGUCUACGAAAUUCAGGAAACGGGUUCGGGAGUCGGUUACGCACGAGGAAGGAUUAGCACCCUCGUGGCCCUCAAAAUCGGUAACUAGUUGAUUAAUUAAAGUCUUGGUGUCGAAAAUUGAAAAUCCGAAAAGAAUUUAAAAAUACAAUCCCUCUUUGUAGUAAUAUUUUUUCUUAAAAAUGCUUGAAUAAAUUGAAACGCAUGUUAAAGACACUCUCAUCUCGCAGUGACAAAAUGUCACAUCCUGUAAGUUAGGACACGACACCUCGAACCUUUGAGAAUAAGCUUGCCUUUUAUUUUUUAUUUAAAUCUUAUUAUUUUGAUUUUAAAAGGAUAUUCGGUAAUUUGAGUUCAACGAGAGAAUCGAAACCCCGUGAGUUAGGGUACAAUUUCUCGAAGCUCUAAACACGGAAUAUUGCCUUUAUUUCCAAUUUUUUUUGAAUAAAUACACAUGUAAUGUUUAAAACUAUACAUAUUUAUUUUAUUUGGAUUAUAGUGUAGAGAACGAAUAUUUAAACACGGCUCGCGACAUAAUUGGAACAAUAAUAGCAUUCGCGAAUAAGCGAAAUGACGAUAUAUCGCGAAUAAUGAGAUGACAAAUAAGCAAUGGCAAUAAUCAAUUAAAUCUAAUGUUAAUUAAACAAUAAAUAAUAAUAAUAAAAGAAAGUGGAAUAUACAUGAUAAAAAUAAUAGAUAUGAAAGUAUAAAAAAAGGGGAAUAAGUAACAAAGAAGAAUUAAAAUAAUAUAAUGAUGACAAUAGUAGAAUUUUGCGUAAAUAAGAGAUUAUAAACAAUUAUAUAAUAAUAAACAAGUAAGUGAAGAAAUAAUAGAUAAAAUGGAAUAAUAAAAAUUAUGUAUAUAAUAUAUAUAUAUAAAGAAUACACCAUAAAGAAAAAAAAAUGAGCCAAUUUGAAAUACUAAAAAACAAUAAUAAAAGAAAUGAUAGGAACGUAAGUAAACAAAAAAAUGAAUCAUUAAUAAAAAUUUGAUUAAAGAUUGAAAUUAUACAAAUAAAUAAAUAAACUAGACACUUUGAAAUAGUACAAAAUUUGAAGAUAAAUAGAUUAAGGGUGGAAUUGAAAUUAAAAGGAUGUUUUGGGCCUAAAUCAUAAUAAAAUAAAUGCCUAAAGGACUAAAUUGAAGUUUAAACGGAAUUUUGGGCAAAAAUCGGAAAUGAAAAUAAAGUAAAGGACAAAGUUGUAACGCACGAAUAAUAGGAAGGGACCAAAUGGAGAAAUAACCCAAUCCUCUUGACAUGUGUCCCUUCUCUAGUAGAUCAAUGAGCGAGGGACUAAAUUGAAACACGCGACAAAUUCGAUGGCCAAAUCUAUAAAAAGAAGAAAGUAAAAAAGGACUAAAUUGAAGCGCGACUCAAAAUCGAAAGGACUAUUCGUGCAAAUAGCCCAAACGUUGAAAACAUGCGGAUCCUAGCUUUCGGGUCGAGUCGGGUCAGACGUGGGCCAAAGCCAAAACGAAACUGUUUGGGGUUUAAGGAAACAAACCAAAACGACAUCGUUUCCUACCUCUAUUUAAGUAAAAAAUUUCCCAAAAAAAUCAUUUCAUCUAUAUUUCUAAAAAAAAAUCUGAAAUCCUCUCCUCUCUCUCCGAGCCACCCAUCGGCCGUCCUUAGCUCCGACGAUUAGCCGUCGUAUCGACCACCGGUUACAAGCGACGGCACCUCCGUACACGGUGGCCGAAAAGUCCAAAAGCCUAUUUUUUAUUAUCUUUUCGAGUAGAACCGAGAUUUGGGGUUGAAAUGCCCAAAAAAGCCCUAAAAUCCAAAAAGAAAUGAAAGAACCUUUCGGUUCUGCCCUUCUCCAUCGCGGCCCUUAGGCGAACCCCCAAGGGUCCGUCAGUCUUCCAAAAUGGAGGGAGAGGCAACGGUGAUAAAUGUAAGGUUUUGUUGUUUUAUUUUUAUGUAUAUAUUUUCGAAAAUAAAAUAUAAAGAAAAAAAUAUCACCUUUUGGAUUUUUGAAUUCUAUUUUUGAUUAAUCUUGUGUGUAUAUCUUUCUGUAAAAAACUACAAACUGGUGGUGGUGGCUUUUAUAGCCAGUUUACAUACUUGUAUUUGCUAUUUUUUUGCUUGCUUUAGUUUCUACUACUGUCUCUCGUGCUGUUUCUUUUUUGGUUUGUUUGCAUGUUUUAGCGAGGUCAACGGAAAGGCCUUUGCCAUUUCGGUGCAAGGCGGCUAGGCCUCGGGCGAUAGGCACGCUGCGAAGGCACGUAAGGGGCAGCAGAGGGUACGGCACAAGGCAUUAGGGUUUUUGUUUUCUUCUGAAAACAGUUUAGGUUGUGGGCUAGGGUUUUUGGUUAUUUUGGGCCAUAUGGGCCUGCUGUAAUUUGGACUGUAAUUUUUUAUUUUUAUUAUUUAUGUUUUUGUUUGGGCCCAAGUAAUUUGGGCUGAUUAUAGCUACCCCUCUUUGCUCAUUGUCGUGUAACGAGGAUAGAGGAAAUAUAUUUAAGAAGGACCAAAUUUUCUCGGCUUCCAAAUCUCAACUUCUUUGGUCCUCGUCUUCUUCAAGUAGCCCCUUUCUGACCCAUUAUAACUUCAGAGGUAUAGAAUUUGUCGCUUCAAUCUACUCCACUGCAACUUUGAGGAGAUAAGAUUAGUAUCUUUAAUUUGCUCCGCUACAUCUUCAAGAAUAUAAGAUUAGUAACUUUAUCCUGCUCCACUGCAUCUUUAGGAAGAUAAGGUUUAUAGCUUUAAUCUGCUCUAUUGCAACUUCAGAGAGAUAAGAUCUGCUAUCUUCAGUCUACUCCACUGCAACUUCAAGUAGAUAUGACUUGUAUCUUCAAUCUGCUUCACUGCAAUUUCAGGGAGAUCCGAUUGUAAUUUGUAGCCUUAAUCUGUUCCACUGUAACUUCAGGGAAAUAAGAUUCACUAUCUUUAGUCUGCUCCACUGCAACAUCAGGGAGAUAAGACUCGUAACUUCAACUUGCCCCACUGCAACUUCAGGGAGAUAAUCUUUAUAGCUUUAAUCUACUAAUGCAAUCUCCUUGGCAACUGAUGCAAUCUCCCCAUGGUAGACCAAUAAUACCCGAAUCUCAUGAUUUACCUGGCCAUUGUAAAACCAUUGACGUGUGUUCCGCAAACACCCUCGUGGACUUCUUCUAAGAUUUUUUAGCCUCGACAGCGUCUACACAUCUUAGUAGUACCUGAUCCUUUCUCCUUUUAUAUAGGAUCUCCCCAUUUAAGACAUAGUCACUGGCCAGUCUUCUUAGCAUCCUUUUGUCAUUCUCAGUUGCUUGGUCAGGGUAUUCACGAUUCUUCACAUACUGCAGUAUAUCAUGGUACCAAUGGUGAUCAUCCUCUUUUUCUUCUUCUUCUUCUUUAAUGUUGUAACAAUGAGCCAGAGUCUCAUAAAUACUCAUCUGGAUAGGUUUUAGAUCUCCUUGUUUGUUCACUUUGACCAUUGAAGCCAAGGUAGCCAAAGCGUCAGCCAUAUGAUUUUCGUCUCGUGGAAAUAGCAGAAGGUGAUGUCAUCAAACUCCUCAAUUAACUCUAGGACCAGUUUUUAAUAAUUGAUACACUUGGGGUCUCUCGUCUCCCAUUCACCUUUGAGUUGAUAGAUCACUAGUGUAGAAUCUCUAUAUACCUCUAGUACUUUGAUCUUACGUUCUAUGGCCGCACAGAUACCCAUGAUGCAUACUUCGUAUUUUGCCAUGUUAUUCGUGCAAUCGAAAUCCAAUUUGUUAGUAAAUGGAUAAUGAUCUCCGUUUGGGGAUACUAGGACUAUCCAGAUCCCGUUACCCACAGCGUUUGAGGCUCCGUUGAAGUUUAGCUUCCAAGGAUGACCCUCUUGAAAGUCUUCCUCAGUGGUUGCCACAUGCAUUAGAUCUUCAUUCGGGAAAUCAAAGCUCAAAGGCUCAUAAUCUUCUAGAGCUCUACCAGCCAGAAAAUCUGCUAUUGCGCUCCCUUUUAUAGCCUUCUGAUUCACAUAAACUAUAUCGAACUCGGACAACAGAAUUUGUCAUCGGGUCAUUCUUCUAUUUAAUACCGUCGACUCCAUCAUGUAUUUUAGAGGAUCGAGUUUUGAGAUGAGCCAAGUUGUGUGGUACAACAAUACUGUCUUAACCUUCGGGUUGUCCAGAUCAAGGCGUAAAAUAGCUUCUCGAUUGGUGAAUAUCUUGUCUCACAUUCAGUGAAUUUCUUACUGAGAUAGUAUAUUGCUCUUUCUUCUCUCCCUGAUUCAUCAUGUUGGCCAAGCAUGCAUCCUAUGAAAUUCUCGAAUAUUGCCAAGUAUAGUAUCAGCGGCCUAUCUGGGCUGGGAGGCAUUAGAACUGGGGAAUUGGACAAGUAAUAUUUGACCUUGUCAAAAGCCUUCUGGCACUCCUCAUCCUAAACGCCUGGAUUGUGUUUCUUAAGGAGACGAAAUAUAGGGUUGCAUUUCUCAGUUAGUUGUUAAAUGAAUUGAGCGAUAUAAUUUAGUCUUCCUAAGAAACUUCAAACUUCUUUUUGAGUGCGCGACAGAGGCAAUUCUUAUAUAGCCUUGACUUUGUCUGAGUCAAUCUCAAUUCUCUUUUCACUGACUACAAAUCAUAGCAAUUUUCCUGACCUAGCCUUGAAAUUACAUUUUGCUGGAUUGAGUUUUAGCUAGAACUUUCUUAACCUUAAGAACUGUUUUCUCAGGACUUGCACAGGCUCCUUUUCUGUUUUGAAUUUUGCAAUAAUAUCGUUGACAUAAACUUCGAUUUCUUUGUGCAUCAUAUCAUGGAACAGGGUUACCAUGGCUCUCUGAUAUGUUGCUCCCACAUUUUUCCAGUCAAAAUGGCAUCACCUUAUAACAAAAUGUUCCCUACAUAGUUACGAAUAUGGUCUUUUCCAUGUCUUCAGGAUGCAUCUUUAUCUGGUUGUAUCUCGAGAAGUCAUCCAUGGAGUAGGACAGUGAGUAACCUACCGUGUUUUCCACUAGAGUGUUGAUAUGCGGCAAUGGGAAAUUAUCUUUUGGGCUGGCUUUGUUCAAGUUACUAUAGUCUACACAUAUUCGUACUUUCCCAUCUUUUUUGGGAACGGGGACUAUAUUGGCUACCCAUUUUGAGUAUUUAACCACGCGUAAGAAGCCAGUAUUGAAUUGCUUCUUGAAUUCCUAUUUUAUUUUCAGUAAAACAUCAAGCCUCAUCCUUCAAAGCUUCUAUUGAACUGUCUUGCACUCUUCCUUUAUAAGGAGUUGGUGUACCACGAUAUCAGUACUUAACCCGGGCAUGUCUUGAUAUGACCAUGCGAAGACAUCCUUAAAUUCUUAGAGUAACUCAAUGAGGUCUCGCUUCGUCUUUGUGGUAAUGUAAGCUCUAAUCUUCACCUCUUUUUCCUCUACCAAGCUCACAAUUUCUACUGACUCUUUGUAAGGUAGGAUUUGUUUUUCAUCUUGUUCUACCAUCCUCAACAAAUCAAGAGAUAGGUUACAGUCUCGAUCAUCUUCAAAAUCUUGAGAAUCCUUCGUACACAUAUCUUACUCAAAAAGGAGAUUCUGAGUCAGUAACAGCGUCACUCAUAUCAUUGAUAUCUGGAGACCUAUUAUAAGGAUGAAGAAAAAUCAAAAGAACAAAAGAAUCUAAGAAUAAUUAUUUGUCUGGUAUGAUUAUGAAUAAAAUGAAAAGAAUAAAAGAAUAUUUGCUCAAGAUGAUACGCAAAGAUACAUUUUAUUGAAAUAAGGAGGUUAGACAUAAACAUAUUUCACAAAAGGAUUCUUAUUGCUCCUAGGCUUAGAGCAAUAAGCGUGUUUUGAACAUUACUCUGAAUUAGCUCUAAAAACUACAGGAAUCUCUUCCGUAGUCCAAUUGUUCAGAACACUUCCAGGUAUAUAAUGGUAAAUGCUUGAUAGAUACUCUUCUCUGAUUCCUUCUUUGAAUAUGUUGUUGAUGUUUAGGUUUUCCAACAUUUCCUCCUCAAUUUCCCUCAUUGACAUCUUCUGUUCAGGGUAAAUAGUUCCUCCUAAUAUAAAUGUCCUAGAUAUAUAGGGAAAUGUCAUUGGUUCCAAUUGAUCUCUUCAUCACUUAAAUGUGCUCUCCUCCUCUCUUGUUUCUUUUCCAGCCGUUUUUUUUUAUUUCGCUUUUGGCUUAAAUCCUAAGCCAAAGCAAUCCCAUUUAUCUUUCAGCAUCGGUGCCUCAACCCUUUCUUAAAAGUAUCUUCCGAGUCUUCAUCCUGGCAAGGCUCCUUUUCUGAUUGUCAAUUACAAGCCCAUCCUUGUAGUUUUGGAUAUUUUGGACAUUGAGAUUUUGUUUCUCUCGACGAUGAAGGUUGCAUUCACAAAUUUCAGUGAUCGAAAGGAAUAUUCUAUUACUUAAUCGUCAGCCUCUAUGUAUGGCGCGUCACUAGUAACGGAUGCAAGAAUGUCUUCUUCCGUAUUUAUUGUUACCAGUCAACCCUCAGUUACUAACUUUAACUUUUGGUGUAGUGAUGACGAAACUGCCCCCGCUAAGUGAAUCCAAGGCCUCCCCAACAAGCAAUUAUAAGAAGGCUUGAUAUCCAUCACCAAAAAGUCUACUUCAUACAUGUUUGGACCAAUCAAAAGAGGUAUUUCGAUCCUUCCCACUACCUUCUUUUCAGUACCGCCGAAUGCUAUCACUAUGUUUUGGCAUGUUUUUAUAUGAGAGCUAUCCACAGGCAACCUAUUCAGCAUGGAUAGGGGAAAGACAUUCAAGUCCGAUCCAUUAUCAAUUAACACCCUUGGCAAUGUGUAUCCUUUAUAGUAGGUGGUGAUGUGCAGACCUUUGUAGAUUUCAUGCCCCCUGGUGGUAUUUCAUCAUCAUUAAAGAAGAUGAAGUUGUCAGCACUUAUAUUAUUAACUAGGCGGUCUAACUUGUUUACAAAGAGAUCGUUAGUGACAUAAGUUUCGUUUAGCACUUUCAUCAACGCACUACGAUGUGUCUCCGAACUUAAGAGUAAAGCUAGCACUGAGAUGCGAGCCGGUUGCUUAUGUAGAUACUCUACAAUGCUGUACUUAUGGUGCUUUAGGAAUUUCAAGAAUUUUCUAGCCUCGUUCUUAGUUACUGGCUCGUUAACAGGCGAUUCAAGUCUGGCCGCCUUUUCUUUCUUUUGUUCAACUACCAAGGCUAUUCCUUUUGCGGGCUCAGCUUUUAUAUUUGAUGGGUCGUAGCAUCUCUCACUGUGCGUGCAGAAACCCAUAUCCUGGUCCUCUCUUAAAGCGCCAAUCGGGUUCUUUUCUCCCAUAAUCGUCACGUUGUAGUCAUAAUUCCAGGGAACCCUAUUGCUUUCUUUAUAGGGAAAGGCCACAGGUUUCUGAAUUAUGACCCAUAGUCUCAUUUGUACUUUGACUUCAUUGCUUCUUGGUCGUGAAAUAAUGACCACUGGGUAGUUGACUUUCUGGACCUUCUCCGUCGAUCAUUCUUCCGAUGCGCACACAUUUCCUUCUUUUAGGCCUUUAACAUAUUUAUAAAAUUCAAUUUCUUUAUUAUCAAUCUAGUUUUGCAUUAGGGCCCUGAACUCGAUGCAUUCUUGGAUCUCAUGACCCCCUUCAUUAUGGAACUUACAGUAGUUCUUCAUCUUUUUGAGAUUUUCUUUUGAAUUUUGCUCUAUUAAUCCUCUUUCUACCAUCUUUUUCCAAACCCGUCUUAGUGGGGUAUUUACUUUCGCCACAUAAAAUUUGGUUCUCUUUCCCCUACCUUCAAUUAUCGUAUUUACCCCUUUGUCAAAAUGACUGGGUAACAGAUUUCCUGCCACAUUAGGUCCCGAUGGGUCAUCGAACUUCACAAUUCCCAUCUUAAUGAACCUUUCGAUCAAUUUUUUAAAUGCGGUGAUGUUCUCAAUUGAAUGUCAUGUGAUUCUCGCGUCGUAUUCGUAUUGAGCAUUUGAGUCAUACCAUUUGGGGAAUGGAGGUUGCAUAGGUCUCAGGUAGAAGGGGGAUACAACAUGUGCAUCAAAUAGACUCUGAUACAGCUCCCUAUAUGUCAAUGGUAUGGCUGUGAACUCGGGUUUUUCUGUAUUUGGCCUUGGGUUGGGUUCUUGCCUUGAAGGGCCCUGAUGGCUAGUGGUUAUUAUCCUUGGCGGGCCAACAGUAAUUGGUUUUGAAUAACCUUUGUUGUAUGUGCUUACAUUAUUCACCUCAUUUUCCUUCUUCCUCGGGGCCAAUCUUUUAGAGUUUUCCCCCGCAUCUAUCUUACCACUUCUCACUGUGUUUUCAAUCAUUUCACCAGAAAUUACUAUAUCUGAGAAACUCUUAGUAGCGCUUCCCAAUAUAUGGUUGAUGAAUGGAGCUUUUAAAGUGUUGAUGAAAAGUAUUGUGGUUUCUUUCUCCAGAAGAGGUGGUUGGACUUGCGUUGCCACAUCUCUCUACCUUUGGGAAUAUUGCCUGAAGUUCUCAUUUUGUUUCUUCUCUAUAUUCUGCAACGUGAUUCUAUCAGGUGUCAUAUUCGUUACAUGACUAUACUGUUUCAUAAAAGCCUGUGCCAAAUCCUUUCAUAGAUUGAUUUUGGCAUGGCUUAGUUGGUUGUACCAUUUGGCUGUAGACUCGAUCAGACUGUCUUGGAAGCAAUGAAUUAAUAAGUAAUCAUUAUUAACGUAUCUUGUCAUCAUUCGACAGAACAUCGUAAUGUGAGCUUUAGGGUAACUAGUCCCAAUAUAUUUUUCAAACUCUAGGGUUUUGAACUUUGGUGGGAGCACUAGAUCUGGGACCAAACUUAAGUCCUUAGCAUCAAUUCCACAAUGGUAAUCGACGUUCUCCAUUACUCUAAAUUUUUAUUCUAGCCAUCUGCACCGGUCCUCGAGUUGUUUUGGCAGAUAUACCUUUGCCUUCUCUAUUUCUGCUAUAUCAUCUAGAUAAGGGACAACAGGAUUAGUUGGAUUAUCCCUUGGAUUAGAGCUUGAGUUCAUUGGGUAGUUUGUUAGUAUCGAGGUAUCAGUUUGAUAUUGUUGGGGUCUGAUAGUAACGGGUACCCCUCGUGGGUACGUCUCUGGUUGGGUCUGAACAUUUAUCAGGGUAAAACUUAGGGGAUAGGUAUGGUCUUCAUUAUCAUGACCCGAGUUAACCACGGUACCCUUCCCUUUUUCACGUUCUCCAGCCAACAACUGUGCCAAUUGGCUUAUCAUACUUCUUUUGGAUUCCAGUAUCUGAUCCCUUAUCUCUUGUUGUACUUUCGUUAACUGUUCUUGUAGUUACACUUGCAACUGGUCUUGUAUCUCUUUUUGAAUCAGUUCUAGCCUUUCCAUUCUUUGGUCCAUUACUUUGGUUUUGGCACGAGUACUGUAACGAUGUUCGGUUGGUUGACUCUUGUUGGUUUCCAGAUUAACUGAAAUAAUUUUGUUUAAUUAAGGUCUUUUUGUGAAAUUUAAUACAUAUGAUGCAAUGUAAUGCAAAUGUAAGAAAUAAAUACAAAAAUAGGUAUUAACUCUGAUUCAAUUAUGUUAGAACAACUUUACUAGAAAACAAAUUUAUUUACAUAAAACAGACUACAUAUACGGCUUUGCCCUAAUGCUCAAAGGCUUAACCUUUUUAAGAAGCCAAGCUAACUCUUGACCCUGAUCUGGUUCUGAUUCAUACUUCAAGCUUAGCACAUCAGCCUAAACUGCUAAUGUUUGUAAAUGGUCAGCCACCUCUCGUAUUUGAGCCACAGCUUGACCCAUGAUACGAUCCCUAUCCUUGACUUGACCUUGAGAAUGGUGGAGUUGCUUUUUCCAAUGCUCAUUGUUUUCUUCAAGGAGUUCAACUCGGAGUUCACAAUUUUGUAAUGCGGUCUUGAGCUCUUCUAUUUUCCUUUUCAGCUCUUCAAUCUUGUUCAAGCUCGCUUUCAGCUCAAGUGUAGAGUUAUGAUUACGAUACUGAUGAACUGACUUUUCUAACUUUGGUACCCUGACUUUUAAUCUGACAUUUUCAUUUUGGCAUUCCAAUAAGUCUCUUUCUAAAGUAUUUUCUCGAACUUGAGUAUCUUGGCAUUUCUUUUCCAAUUGAUCGGCUCUAUUCUUUUCUUCUUUGAUCGUUUACCGCCAUUGUUUUGAUGUCUUUCCAAGCCCAACAUUCCUUAUUAUUAAGCGCAGCUUCUUGUAAUCCAUUUUUAAAUUGUCUAGAUCUUCCUCAGCCUUGUUCUUUCAUUUUCUCAUAUUAUCGGCCUAUAGUUUCUGAACGUCAACAUCUAGUCCUAACUGCAUCUUUUCUUCUUCCAAUUGCUCUAUCUUCUUUCCUAACUCCAAAUUCCUAUUUUUAAAAUCUUGUUUGAUGAUCUCUAGCUCAGAUGGAAUCACUUGCAGGUGUUCUUCCAAGGAUCGAAUGGUUUCUUGAUUCGACAUAUGGAUGUUGUCAUUGACUCUUUGACCCCACCACCAACUAUAUUAAGGGAUCGUCAUCGGACCUACAGCCAAUCUUUUCAUUCGGCGGGUUUGAUUCCAGGUAUUAGACAUUUCUCGAACCUUUUUAUUUUAGUUAUCACCCUUAUACGAAAACUCACACUGGGCCAGCCCUUGCAUUGCUGGUAUAAACUGCCUCGAUCUAUACUACCUCAACACGAGUAGAGGAGUAUAUCCAACAGCUCCCUAAAUCUCAAGUAGAGGAACCCAGUCAAAAUCUCCACACCGGUACAGAAUCUCAUCAGGUACCAUCUGAGGGGUUCUCCAUUUGACAUCCUCAUCUUGGAGAUUCUAAAGUAUCGCCAUCCAUUUUUCUUCCGAAAUGUCGUCUCGCUUUGGUGUAGCCACUAAUUCUUUUAAUGAAGAGUAGUUCUCGGAGAAAACUCAAUAAGAAACUUUUUCUACCCCCAAAAGUGGCUAUGAAACCAUGCCAAUAAGAGUUGCGCACAUCUGAUGAAUCUUCCUUCAACCGCUCUCCGGCAUGCAUUCAAUGAUCUGAAUAUUUUGGUCAAAAUUGCAGGGACCGGCGUAACCCUUUUAUCAAGUCUGUCAAACAAAUCAUAAACUACCUCAUCCACGUGCCCUAGUGCUUUAAGGAAAACAACCAGCCUUUAAAUGCUUAAAGCGAAGACAUUGACCCCUUUUUUUCAUAUCUGGGUGUGUUAAAAUCAAAUCUCGCAAACUAUUCCAAGGGAUACAUUUACCAUCUCCCUUUGCUUGAUCCGGCCUACAACCCAUUGCUCACUCAUCCCUGUUAUUUUCAUUAGUUUCUUUAGGAAGGUCGGGAUGUUGGCGGCUCUGGAAUAAACCUUGUCAGGUGCCCUAGUGCUUUAGAGAAAACAACCAGCCUAUAAAUGCUCAAAGCGAAGACAUCAACCCUUUUUUUCAUAGGGUGUGCUAAGAUCAAAUCUCGUAAACUAUUCCAAGGAAUACAUUUACCAUUUCUCUUUUGCUUAAUCCGGGCUGCAACUCAUUGCUCACUCAUCCCUUUGAUGUUCAUUAGUUUCUUUAGAAAGGUCGAGACGUUGGCGGCUCUGAAAUAAACCUUGUCAGGUUAAAUUUUCAGGGAACGAAGUAAGGUCGUGUAUUAUUCCACAGUAGGUACCAAAUCCACUUUUCCAAAAGUAAAGUAGUUGUAUGCGAGAUUCCAAAAUUGAACCAGGGCUCGAAACAAGUGCUUGUCCACUUUAAUGUCGAGUAGAUAGGGCAAAUUACCAUAAUUACAAUAAAAUAGCUUCUUGAUUUCAUCAUCCCAUUAGACUCAUAUCUUUUUCAAUUCAUGGAGAUUGUUCUAGGUCACGCUGAUACGAGUAAAGUCCCAUAAUUUUGAUAUGUAACCCUCCGUCAGACUUUCACAUUUCUCUAAUCAUGUUUUCUCAGACCAUAUUCGGACAGCCGUAUUAUCUUUCACUUUAUCAAGAAAUCCCUUCUCCAUGGCAAGCUCUCUAUUUAGUAACUGAAUGUGAAUAAACACAUUUUUUAUGAUGAAAAUUUCAUGCAACCACAAUCAAAGCAAAAUAAAAUAAGUCAGUGCAUUAUACAAAUCUGAAUUAAGCAAGGAAUAAUAAACAAUGCACCUAUUUGGGUGACCACUAGGGAUUCGGUGUGGUUCUACCUAGGGUAGGCUCUUAGGGCUCACUAUAUGCGGUUUGGUUCUAAAGUAAGGGUACUUGAACCGACAGAUUCCUCGAUCCUCACCCAUUAUAGGCUCAUAUAGACCGAGUUCAGUUCAGGGGGAUACAUUUCCCUAUGGCUAUACGGAGAUGAAAAUCUCACGAAGACAUAGGUACUGAUGUAUCCCGAAAGUGAUCCAUUAUCCUAUACGGAGGUGAAAACCUCACGAAGGAAUAGUUUCUCACUCCCACUUAAAAGGGUAAAAUCGAUCGAUUAUACGAUACAAUAUGCGAAGAUUAAAAGACUCGAACCAAUAAAACAAACAUAUCAAAAUGAUGCAGACCAUAAAAAUGAAAUGCAAUGAAAGGAUCGUAAGUUUAACCCAAAUUAUCAAUUUUCGACAAAAAGACAAGAACUAAUCAACUCGUGGCUUGACUCUCUUAUUUUGUUCCCUAGUGGAGUCGCCAAGCUGUCGAAACCUUUUUUUUUUGAAAUCGACUUUAUUUUGAAAACGAGAAUGAGAGUCGCCACCAAUCUUUUUUAAGAGGUGUGAUUGGGUCACCUUGUAAUUUGAUUGUUUUAAUAAGAGAUUUGAUUUACUAAAACAUAGAUUUUUGGUUUACAAAAUUCAGGAAAUGGGUUUGAGAGUCGGUUAUGCACGAGGAAUGAUUAACACCCUCGUGAUGCCCAAAGUCGGUACCUAGUUAAUUAAUUAAAGUCUUGGUGUCGAAAAUUGAAAAUCUGAAAAGAAUUUAAAAAUACAAUCCCUCUUUGUAUUAAUAUUUUUGCUUAAAAAUGCUUGAAUAAAUUGAAACGCAUGUUGAAGACUCUCUCAUCCCGUAGUGACAAAAUGUCACAUCCUGUAAGUUAGGACACGACACCUCGAAUCUUUGAGAAUAAGCUUGCCUUUUAUUUUUUAUUUUUUAUUUAAAUCUUAUUAUUUUGAUUUUAAAAGGAUAUUCGGUUAUUUGAGUUCAAUAAGAGAAUUGCAACCCCGUGAGUUAGGGUACAAUUUCUCAAAGCUCUAAACACUGAAUAUUGCCUUUAUUUCCAAAAGUUUUUGAAUAAAUACACAAUUAAUGUUUAAAACUAUACAUAUUUAUUUUAUUUGGAUUAUAGUGUAAAGAAUGAAUAUUUAAACACGGCUCGUGACAUGAUUGGAACAAUAAUAGAAUGAUAACGCGAAUAAGCGAAAUGACGAUAUAUAUAAAAUAAUGAGAUGACAAAUAAGCAAUGGCAAUAAUCGAUUAAAUCUAAUUUUAAUUAAACAAUAUUAAAAAAUAAUAAUAAUAAAAGAAAGUGAAAUAUGCAUGAUAAAAAUAAUAUAUAUGAAAGUAUAAAAAAAAGGGAAUAAGUAACAAAGAAGAAUUAAAUUAAUAUAAUGAUGGUAAUAGUAGAAUUUUACGUAAAUAAGAGAUUAUAAACAAUUAUAUAAUAAUAAUAAUAAAUAAGUAAGUGAAUAAAUAAUAGAUAAAAUGGAAUAAUAAAAAAUAUUAUAUAAAAAAAUAUAUAAAAAGAAUACACCAUAAAGAAAAAAAAACGAGCCACUUUGAAAUACUAAAAAAAAUAAGAAAAGAAAUGAUAGGAACGUAAGUAAAUAAAAAAACUGAAUCAUUAACAAAAAUUUGAUUAAAGAUUGAAAUUAUACAAAUAAAUAAAUAAAUAAAUUAGACAGUUUGAAAUAGUACAAAAUUUGAAGAUAAAUAGAUUAAGGGUGGAAUUGAAAUUAAAAGGAGGUUUUGGGCCUAAAUCAUAAUAAAAUAAAUGCCUAAAGGACUAAAUUGAAGUUUAAACGGAAUUUUGGGCAAAAAUCGGGAAUGAAAAUAAAGUAAAGGACCAAGUUGUAACGCGCGAAUAACAGGGGGACCAAAUGGGGAAAUAACCCAAUCCUCUGGACACGUUUCCCUUCUCCAGUAGAUCAGCGAGACAAGGACUAAAUUGAAACACGCAACAAAUUCGAUAGCCAAAUCUAUAAAAAGAAAAAAGUAAAAAAAGGACUAAAUUGAAGCGCGACUCAAAAUCGGAAGGAUUAUUCGCGAAAAUAGCCCAAACGUUGAAAACACGCGGAUCGUAGCUUUCGGGUCAGGUCAGACGUGGGUCAAAGCCAAAAUGAAACAUUUUGGGGUUUAAGGAAACAAACCAAAACGAAGUCGUUUCCUACCCCUAUUUAAGUAAAAAAUUUCCCAAAAAAAAUCAUUUCAUCCCCAUUUCUAAAAAAAAAUCUAAAAUCCUCUCCCCUCUCUCCGAGCCACCCCUUGGCUGGCCUUGGCUCUGACGAUUCACCGUCGUGCCGACCACCGGUCACCAGCGACGGCGUUGCAAUACACGGUGGCCGGAAAGUCCAAAAGCCUAUUUUUUGAUCCUUUUUUUCGAGUAGAACCCAUAUUUGGGGUUGAAAUGCCUAAAAAAGCCCUAAAAAUCCAAAAUGAAAUGAGAGAAACUUUCGGUUUUGCCCUCCUCCGUCACGACCUUUCGAUGAACCUCCAAGGGUCCGUCGGUCUUCCAAAACAGAAGGAGAGGCAACGGCGAUAAAGGUAAGGUUUUGUUGUUUUAUUUUUACGUAUAUAUUUUCGAAAAUAAAAUAUAAAGAAAAAAAAUCACCUUUUGGAUUUUUGAAUUUUGUUUUUGAUUAAUAUUGUGUGUAUAUUUCUCUGAAAAAACUACAAACUGGUGGUGGUGGCUUUUAUAGCUAGUUUGCAUGCUUGUAUCUGCUAUUUUUUUGCUUGCUUUCGUUUCUGCUACUGUCUCUCGUGCUGUUUCUUUUUUGGUUUGUUUGCAGGUUUUAGCGAGUUUAACGGAAAGGCCUUUGCCAUUUCGAUGCAAGGCGGCCAAGCCUCGGGGGUUGGGCGCACUGCGGAGGCACGUGGGUGACAGUAGAGGGUGCAGCGCAAGGCAUUAGGGUUUUUGUUUUCUUCUGAAAACAGUUUAGGUUGUGGGCUAGGGUUUUUGGUUAUUUUUGGCCAUAUGGGCUGCUGUAAUUUGGACUGUAAUUUAUUAUUAUUAUUAUUAUUAUUUAUGUUUCUGUUUGGGCUCGGGCAAUUUGGGCUGAUUACACAUAUGUUAAUUUUUGUUUCAGGUAUUGUUGAAUGCACCAGGAGGGACAAGCCAGGAAUACUCCAAGAAAGCGGUGACUCGGGUUAUUAUGCAUAUAGUGAACUAUUUAGAAAAGUGACGUAUAGUAGGAUUACGCCUUAAAGAGUCUAUCUUUAGCAAACUUUUGUGUUGUAGUAAGUUAUGACAAGUCUGAUGUAUUAUUUUAUUUUUAAAUACUUUUCUUUGUUCCUUUAAUAAUGAGAUCUUAGAUAAAAUAAUAAGAAAAUUGUUUUAAGUGUAUAUGUUGAUUGUUUUGAAAUUUUUGUUAAGUAUUAUGUGUAGUAACACCCGAGAUCCAAACCCGAUGAAUCGGGUCGGGUUGAGGGUGUAACAUUAUGUUUAUUUGUCAACAAGAACGUUUAGUUUAGAACUACUUCUUAUUUCGAUUAAUUAAAGUUUGAACAUACUUGAGAGUUUUAUUUGGAUGUGCUUAGCUAGCCUAUAUAAAGUUCUCUUCAUUAUUCAUUAGAUAGACAAUUGUUUUUAUUCAUUAAUAAAAUUUACAACUUUGGGAGUUAGCUUCUUUGCGCUAGAUUGCUUUUUUGUGAUUUUUAGUAGUUUUCUUCUCAAUUUUUUCCAAUGAGUCAGUGUGAAUUCAUUCGUCAUCCUUCAAUUUGUCAAGGAUUAUUUCUUGGAAGGUUUAUUAGAGUUAUUAAUUGAAUUUGUUGGGGUUUAUAUCUUAAAAGGUUUAAUUGAACACUUAUUCAUCUAUGUGUCAUAUCCAUCGAUUUAUUUGACUCAUCUUCCACUUUUUAUUCUAUCAUUUCUUUAUUUAUUAUUUUGAAUAUUUAUUGUUUAUUUUAAAUUUCUUAUUUUAGUUUUUUUUUUCCUAAACGUGUUUGGUUUCUUCUUUUAGGUUAAACUCAAACCUUUAUUUCUUGAGUCGAACAACUUAAAUACGAUCUUUUUUCAUUUGUCCUUAUCAAAAAGUCACAUCCGUCCCAUCUAAAAUGUCAUUACUUUUUGUCACAAGCGACUUUUUGCAUUACUCAUUCUAUCUGAUCAAGUCACCCAUAUAUUUACCUAACAACCUAAAAAAUAGGGGUAUGGCAUAUUAGAGCAUGCAUACAAGAUCCCAAAGGACUUCCUCCCCUUUCUAGUCGGACUGACAUUACAUGCAUCACCUUUGUGUCCUAUUCUUUUCUUUUUUACCUAACACAACCUUUCAGUAACUCUCAACACAUAAACCUAAAUCUACAGUGUGAAUUAUGUUGGAAAAGUUUAGUUUAGAGAUCAAUUUUAUUGCACAAUAGAAAAUUAUUGUUUUUUUUUUUAAAUUGAGCCUUAAUGUUAUUUAUAGAAAUAACCUAUUACUAAAUUAGUAUUAAAGUUGCACCCAAUUAUCACUUUGAUACUUAAAAGAAUUUCUUUUUCAGUUUGGUACCUACAGUUUCCAAACGUCAUGCACGUUACCCUAGUCGUUACUCUCGUUACAAAAAAAAUGAAGCAUGCCAUGUCACCCAAUUUUCUAUUUUUUUUCUGAAAUAAAUGCAAAAAACUAGAAAAAAAUAUUGUGAAAAUUCAGAAAAAUAGAAAAAAUUUAAGGAAAAAUCUAAAAAAUAAAAAUCAGGAAAAAUUAUAAAAACUAUACCUUUCCAAAACUUAAAAAUAUAGUUAUCUUUUAAAAAAAUAUAAAAUACAAAAAGAAAAAAGAAAAAAAAUCAUUAAAAAUAUAGAAAAGAACACAGAAUAAUAUAGAUAGUACUUUUUAUUAACAUUGAAAGUUUUAAUAUUUUAUUUUUUCAUAAAAACAAUUACACAAAGCUUGUCACUUAUUUAAAAAAAAAUAAUAAUAAUUAUGAUCUCAAUUCUAUAAACUAAAUUAUUCUUAUACUGAAAGUUUGUCUAAAUCAAUUUCUUGAAUCAAUUUAAAAAUUAAAAUAUUAAAUAAGUAAAGGCUAAAUGGAAUUCAAAAUGAAUGUUAUUCAAAUGGCAAAUAAUCUCAACAUUGUAUUUUAAAUCUAAAAAUUUCUCAUAAUUCUUUAAAUUUGGAAUUAAUCAAAUAAAAAAGUUAGUCAAAACUAAUCGAACUCGAAGGCAUCUAAAUUUAAAAUAAUUAAACUCAAAAUGAACUCAAAUCUCAAAUGAAAAAGGUUCAUUGAAGAAAAUUAUGACACGGAAAUCUAUCGCAAUGGCAGCUCCAUAUAGAACCCAAAAGUGAUUGAAAAACAAACAUAAGCAACUUGUAAGAUUAAAGCCCAACGCAUUUUGUACAAUUAUAAUUUAGUACUUGAAUCUUGACAAGCUUUGGAAGAACAUAUUGUGUAUAAAAAAAUAAGUAUAUUUUCAUAAUUUCUGGAAUUUUUUAUAAUAUUUGUAUAUUAUUUUUUCUUCUUUUUUUUUAUAUUUCUGUUAUUUUUUAAUUUUAUUAUGAAAAAUAAAAUUUUAAAAAAAUAGAAAAACAUUGGUGGUGAUUAAAAAGUACUGUAUAUAUAUUUAUAUAUACAUAUAAUUUCAUGUUUCUUUUUUCUAUAUUUUUAAUGAUUUAUCUUUUUCUUUUUAAAUUUUCACUAUUUUUAAAUUUUAUGUUUUUUAAAUUCAAGAACAUUUUUAUAAUUUUUAUUUUUUCUUGAGAUUUUUCCUCAUCUUUUACUAUUUUUUCGCUUUUUUUUUGUUUUCUGCAUUCAUUUAAGAAAAAAAACAAAAAAUUGGGUGACGUGGAGCACUCCCAAUGGGCCACAUCAUCUUCUUUUGUAACAACAGUAACAGUUGGGGUAUUGUGUUUGACGUUUGAAAACUUCAUGUACCAAUCUAAUAAAAAAUUUCUUUAGAUAUUAAAUUGAUAAUUGGGUGCAACUUUGGGAAAGGGGGCAAAUAGUACGCUAACCCUCUUCUAAAACUAAGUUGUAUAUUUUAUAGCAGUAAACUAUUUAUCAAAUCAGUACUUGUGUUUAGGGCUAGGCAAACUUAGUCAUUUCUUGACUUUUUGCCAACACAAUCUUCUCAAUUAUUUCCAAAUCCGUGACUUAGUUAGAGUAUAGGCUCUAAAUUCACCAACCAAUCCACUAAAAGUAAUUUUUAGGUUCCGAAUCUUCAUCUAUUAAUUACAACAUUAUUUAGUUAUGGAGUCAAUCCGCAAAAAGUAUCAUGAUUGUAAUCUCCCUAUUAUAUACCAUUAGGAAAGCGACUUAUCAAGUGCUCAUCAAUGAGCUUUUUGUUGGAUUUGGUACUCUAAGUGUAGUAUUUCCUAUGAACUCUUGUAUUUUUUUGAAAAAAAUUAGUUUUAAUAAUAUCCAUUAAUUACAGUAAUACCAUUUGUAUAUUGUCCUCAAUAGUUUUUGCAUGUAAAGCAAAAUAAAAGCAAAUAUUGGCUCAAUAGUUAUUUAACGUUUAACUAAUACUAAGCGGUAUUGUGUGGUUAGAUCGUAAUACGAAAAGAUAACUUGUAUUAGUAGAUGAAUAUAAACAUAUCCUUAGUCUAAUUAGAAAUGAGCAUACCGAUUGAAAGACUAAUAUGUUGUCUAUCAAGUCCAAUCGGGGAGAUGCUUUGUCUUGAGUAUCGGAGCGGAUAACUCCUAUAAGAUAGAGACAGAUGUGACUAACUGGACUAACAGCACAUCGGAUAGGAUCCAAGUAGAAUAGAUCCUAGAUCUGUUUAUGUAUAAGUGACUCGUAUACUUUGAUGUAAUUAAAAGUCUAAGUUCAAAUACUUAAGGAACCGAAAGCUAAUGCAUUGGGUAUAUGACUUCUACAGUAUGUAGCAUAAUUUAGAAUAGUAGAAUUCAUAGCCCAACUAAAUAGGUAAAUGAUAUCCUCUCACAGACAUUACAUGAUAGAUGAAAAGUAAAAGUUAUCACAGGUCGUUUAUCUUUGUGAUAAAGGACUUUAUUACUAUUUGAUAGUAAUUGACUUUUCAUGAAGGAACAUGUAAUGGUUACAAUAAGAUAAAAUAAGAUCAUAUUAAAUUAAUAAACACGUUUAAUAAUAGUUAAAAAAUAGGCUUUUUUAUAAAAGAAUAAUUAAUUACAAAAAUAGAUUGAAGGAAAAUUUAUUUAUGAAAUUGAGAUAUUGUUUUUAUCAACUUUUUGUUUUGGUAACAAUUUUUUUUUAAUUCAAAAGGGUUUUACCUAACACAUUGAUGACAAUUAUUUAAAUUUUUACAUUUUUUUCCAUCGUAUAUACCCCUAAAAAUAUAAAUAUUUUAAAAAGUAACAUUAAUAAAAAAUUAUUCUUUUGAUAUUGGUAGAAAAGUUGGACGGCGCCGCCAAAAUUUACUUAUGGAAUAAAAGUUCCCAUCUUAUCCCGCAAACUUUAUCUUUUGUGGAAUGUUUUGUGACACAAUGUUUUUUUAAAAAGUUAUUUUAACAUUUUAUUUUAUUUAAUUUUAAAAUUUAAAUUUUUUAAGUCACUUAAAAUGAAUAAAAAAUUAAUAGUUAAUUUUAUUGAUGUGGCAUAUACGUGAAUUAUCACAUUAAUAAUUAAUUAAUUUUUUAAAAUUAAAAAAUUAUAAAAAUAUUUUAAAAAAAUUUAAAAAUAUAAUAUACUUUUAAUAUUUUUUAAUUUUUAAAAAUUAAUGAAAAGCUAAUGUGACAUUCGUGUAUUCUAAACCAGUAUAAUUAAUAAAUAUUAACUUUUUCAUUUAUUUUAUGUUGAUUUGGCAAACAACUCAAAUUUAGAAACUAAAAUAGAUGAAAAAUUAAAUAGAAAAUUAAACUAACUAUUAAGCCAAAUUUUACAAAUUUUUUUAUAAUUUUAUAAUAAUUUAUUAAUUAAAAUCGUAUUUAUAAUUGAAAUGAGGAACCAAAAUUCCACCACAAUCCUUAUAAUAAACUUACUUCUCUUGACCCUAAACGAAUACUCGAAUAAUCAUGAUCACAUUUAAAGGAUUAUAAAUUUAUUUUGUUGAUGGAUAUGGUCUUUCAUAAUCAACGAGACAGAAUGGAAAUUCUUGAGGUGACCCAAGUUGCCCCAACCUCUAACUCACCAGAAUCAACGACUGAAUUCCGUCUUCCACUCACUUUCUCCGACAUAUUGUGGUUCACGUCUCCUCCUGUUGAGCGCCUCUUCUUUUACCAACUCGACGAGUUAACCCCUGCCUGUUUCAACUCAGUUAUCCUCCCAAAACUCAAGCGCUCUCUUUCUCUCACACUCGUCCAUUACCUCCCCCUCGCUGGCAAUCUCAAGUGGCCACCAAACGAACCUAAACCCAUCAUUUUAUACACUCCAAACGAUGGAGUUUCCCUCACAGUUGCCCACUCCGAUGCCGACUUUAACAUCCUCUCCAGCAAUGGGGUCUAUGAUGCUGCUGAGUUGCAUCCUCUCAAACCUGACCUCGUAACUUCAGAUAUUUCGGCAUCAGCUAUAGCUGUGCAAGUAACCCUGUUCCCAAAUAAGGGGUUCUGCAUUGGAAUCACAGCUCACCAUGCAGUUCUUGAUGGCCAAACCACAACCAUGUUCAUCAAAUCUUGGGCUCAUAUAUGCAAGCAAGGCAACGACGAGAACUCACCCUUGCCACCUGAGCUAACACCAUUUUUCGAUAGGUCUGUUAUCAAAGGUCCUGAUGGACUUGACAUGUUAUAUUUGAACCAGUGGCUAGCUACUAGCGGGUUAGAUUCAGAUACAAGUAAGAAAAGCCUGAAAAUCACAAGUGCAGGAGGAGGAGCAGCAUCAGAUCUAGUUCGAGCAACGUUUGAGAUUACUCGUGAAGAUUUCAAAAAGUUAAGGGAAAGGGUGUUACCUAAACUACCAGAUAGUGGGAAAGAAAUGCAUCUAUCAACUUUUGUGCUUUCGUUUGCUUAUGUAACAACUUGCAUGGUGAAAGCUAGAGGAGGAGAUGGAGAUAGAAAAGUUGCUUUCGCAUUCAUAGCUGAUUGCAGGCCACGAUUAAACCCUCCUGUCUCACAAAACUAUUUCGGAAACUGUAAUAGACCUAAAUUUGAAGUGGCGAAAGCAAGGGAUUUCCUUGAUGAAAACGGGUUUGUGUUUGCUGUUCAGAAAGCAAGUGGAAUGGUUAAAGAUUUAAUGGAGAGAUGGGUUCUUGAAGGAAUGGAAAGGAUUCUAUCAGAUAGUUUAGAUGUUCUUAAAGAAACAUCUGAGUCAAACCUUCAAAUUAUAACUGUUGCAGGAUCGCCUCGAUUUGGUGUUUAUGGAACAGAUUUUGGAUGGGGCAAACCCCAUAAGGUGGUAAUUGUUUCCAUUGAGAAGAAUGGAGCUAUUUCCAUGGCAGAAAGUAGAGAUGGGAGCGGGGGGGUUGAAAUUGGUUUGGCUUUGAAUAAGCACGAGAUGAACAAUAUUUCUUGGUUGUUUCCAAGAUACGUUUAACGGGAGGGUUUAUUUUAAUUUAUUUUGUUGUUUUGUAAUGAUAUUUUAUUAAUAUUAUAUGAAAAUCAUGCUUCAUAUUAUGCUAUUUUUCAUUUAAGCAGAGGUUGAUUGCUCCACUUUAUGCUAUUUAAGCAGAAAGAAAACAUGUGGAGGUGGGGUGUUCAAAAUUCGGGUAAAACUGAAAAAAUUUGGUUAAUUGAUCGAAUUCGGUUAAUCGAUCGGUUAACCGAAUUUUUUCGGUCGGGGUCAGUUAAUUAUUUUUUAAUUUUUCGAUUAACAGUUAAUUCGGUUCGAAAUCGGUCGGUUAACAGAAUUUUUUCAGUUUAAUCAAAAAAUUUAAUAAAUAAAAUUAUAAUAUAUAAGUAGGCUCACUAUUCACCUAAGCCCAAUCCAAACCCAAGUAUUCAACCCAACCCAAUUACCCAACCCAAUUAUAAAAAUUACAAAUAAUUUAAUAAAUAAAAAUAAAAUUCUAAAACUAAAACUAAAGUCUAAAAGUCUAAAAAUAAUUUAAUUAUGUAGUGAUUCAAUUCGGUUAAUUCGGUUAAUUCGGGUAAUCUAGUUAAUUCUGUUAAUUCGGGUAAUUCGGUUAAUUUUUAACCAAAAAUAAAAAAUACAUAAUUUUCGGUUAAUUCGGUUAACUGACCGAAUUAACCGAAAAAAUUUAGGUUCGGUUAACAGUUAAAAAUUUUGAAAGGUCGAUUAAUUCGGUUAAUGUUAUUUCGGGUCGGUUAACCGAAUGAACACCCCUAUGUGGAGGUGGUUGAUUGCUUACCCCACUUUUAUCUAUUUGUCCAAAUAAUGCUUUAUUUGAUAUAUAUGUUAAGGAAAUUUCGAAAAACACUAAUGACUGAGAAGGGCCUUUAUUGGUUUCCACAAAAGCAUCGUACAAGCAUUAGUUAAGUGAUGGAGCCAUGUUAGUUGCAGGGGUGAAUUACCCAUAAAUGCCGGUAUGUUUGGAAAAUUACCUAAUUAGAUUAGUUUUUCUAAAAUUUAUCGGAUUAGGCCAAAUUUGGAGAGAGAGAACAAAAACGAGUGUUUUCCAUAAUGCCUACCCCGCACCCCAGCGGUCAAAUUAUAAUGGCUCCCCCCCCAACGACUAUUUCAACGAAAUUUUAACCCUCCGUCUUUAAUCGGACCAUACUUGAGAGAUGCGAGAUUUUUGCAUAUGGCCCCGUAUAGGUAGAUGGUGUAAAUUGGACCCCACACUUAUAAGCGCGUUGGUGAAAAGAUGGAGACCCGAGAUGCACACAUUCCAUCUUACUAUCACACUCGAGGAUGUGCAGUUACAGCUUGGGUUACAGGUGGAUGGCAGUUGUCGCAGCUAAUUAGAGAGAUGUCUGCGAGCAACUUUAUUGGUUUCCACAAAAGCAUCGUACAAGCAUUAAUUAAGUGAUGGAGCCAUGUUAGCUGCAGGGGUGAAUUACCCAUAAAUGCCGGUAUGUUUGGAAAAUUACCUAAUUAGAUUAGUUUUUCUAAAAUUUAUUGGAUUAGGCCAAAUUUGGAGAAAUAAAACAAAAACGAGUGUUUUCCAUAAUGCCUACCCCGCACCCCAGCGGUUAAAUUAUAAUGGCUCCCCCCAACGACUAUUUCAAUAAAAUUUUAACCCUCUGUCUUUAAUCGGACCAUACUUGAGAGAUGCGAGAUUUUUGCAUAUGGCCCGUUAGGUAGAGGGUGUAAAUUAGACCCCACACUUAUAAGCGCGUUGGUGAAAAGAUGGAGACCCGAGAUGCACACAUUCCAUCUUACUAUCACACUCGAGGAUGUGCAAUUACAGCUUGGGUUACAGGUGGAUGGAAGUUGUCGCAGCUAAUUAGAGAGAUGUCUGCGAGCAACUUUUGGAGAGGGUUUCGGACUUGAUUUAUGGAGCUUGGAUAGAUGUGAAUUGGAUGAAAAGAAAUUUUGUUGGGCUCAAUGCAAAGUUGAGUAAAGUUGAAAGAGUGUCAUAUUGAAGUUUGGUUUGGUAAAUUUUGACGUUUGGCUAGUUAAUUAAGGAAACAAGACUAAAUCGUAAAAGAUGUAAAACUUAAUCUCUAUUGAUUGCUAUUAGCUAAAUGCGUGUUUAAUGUUUGUUUAAGGAUCUAAAUGGUAAUUAUACCCUUUUUAAGGUUAUUGGACGGUUAGUGAAGGAAAUUGAAUUAAAUAUAUGUGUUUUAUAAUAUUAAUUUCUUUAGUUUGAAGCUUGAUGAUGAAAUAGGACUAUUUUGUAAAGUGAUUUUGGAUAGUUUUUAAGUUUAGGAGCUAAAACAAUAAAAUAUUAAAUUUAGCAUGAAAUUCUUGUAAACUUUCAUUAAUUAUAGGUUGUAAAAGAGUAAAGAUGAAUUAGGCCUAAGGGUUUUGGGCUUAAUUUUGAAAAAAAAAAUUAAGUUUCAAUUUAGGGACUAAAGUGAAUAAAAGGUAAAAGUUCAGGGAAAAUUGCUAAGUAGUCCUCGGUGUGGUGUUAUAAUGAUGGAGAUAGUAUGAGAAUUGAGUUAAGGCCCGUGUGAGCUUAGUGAAUGAUUAAGAUACAAAUGACAUGUCAUUAGGAUUUAUCAAGCACUAUGUGCCAGUGAUUAUAUUGAUCAGGUACUAUGUAUCAGUGACCAUAUUAUUAGGUAUUGUGUAACAGCCCGGUUUAGACCCUAGUCGGACAGUGAUUUCAGGACCACAAAUUCAAGUUAGAAAUAUAUUUUAAUAUUAUUUUUGGUGUCUACAGCAUGUUAAUUUAUAUGUGUGAAAAUUUUGUGUGAAAAUUUUAUCGUUUGUAUGCUCGAUUUUAUAAAAAAAAAACUUAAUCGCGUAAAUUGUAAAAGUGGCAUUCUAAUUGUUAAAGUGCUUAAUUGCUUUGAUUAAUUAAUUAUGGAGUCCUUAAAAUGAAAUUUAGCCAUUGAAUACAUGAAUGAACGGUAAUGGCAUGCAUUAUAUGAUUUUAUUAUUAAAUCAUUAAGGUUAUAUUGGUAAAUGGAUAAUAAAAUGUAAUUAAAAUAAAACAAAAUAGGAAAUGGCCAUGCAUGUUCAUCUUUUGGCCAAAUAUUGAAGAGAAAAAGAACCAUUUGAAAGCUUUAAAGAUUCGGCACUUUGAAGCUUAAAUUGAGGUAUGGAUUUUGUUUGGUUUUCGAUAAUUUUUACUUUUUUGAGAUCUUUGCUUUGUAUAUUACCUAGCCCAUGCUUUAAUUUUCAAAAUUGAUGAUGAAUUUGAGAUUUUCCAUUGUUGAUAAUGUGAUGAAUUUGUUGUUUGAUGAUAAAAAAUAAAUCUUUAAUGUUUGAUUAUCAUGUUUAAUUAAGUGAUUUUUUGAUAAAAAUCUAAAUUAGGGAUUUAUUUGUGAAAUUUGAAAUUUUAGGGGUUUAAAUAUGAAAUGAAUGAAAUAUAUGAGCUGAUAGGGACCAUAGGAAGAUUCGGCUAAGGCAUGGUUUUGAUGAAUUUUGUGUAUUUAGUGUAUUUUUGUAUUAAUGACUAAAAUGUUAAAAAUGUGAAAUUUGGGGGCUAAAGUGUAAAUGCCCUAAUUAGGUGUUUAUGGAUUGAAUUAAAUGAGAUGUGUUAUUAAAUAGCCAAAUUUGAAUUUAUUUAGAUCAAGAAAAGAGGAAGUCGGAUUUGGAUCGGAGAAAAUCGAAGGUUGUCGAAUAGUCGUUUCGAUCCGUUCCUGUCCGUACGAUGUAAGUUUGUAAGUAAAUAAAUGUAGUUAAAUUUGAAUGUAUAUGUGUUAUAAAUGCCGAAUUGAAUUUUAAUGAAUAUAUAUGUACAUGCCAAAUUAUUUUUAAGUAUGGGAGAAUUGUUUACGAGCUUAAUUCAAUUGAAUUACGGCAUCCGAAAGCCUGUACGAACCAUAGGAUUCCGAUAUGUGAUAUCGUGUAAGACCACGUCUGGGACGUUGACAUCGAUUUGAUAUUUACGUGUAAGACCAUGUCUAGGACAUUGGCAUCAUAUAUGAUUUCGUGUAAGACCCUGUCUGGGACAGUGGCAUCGUUAUUUGAUUACAUGUAAGACCACGUCUAGGACGUUGGCAUUGUACGAGCUUUUUGAGCUAUCCGAGUAUUCUUUUUUAUUUCGAAUGGUUUAACGGGAAAUGAUGCGACAAAAUUGAAUGUGAGUUUGAAUUAAACGAUUCAAAUAUGUUUGAGUUAUAUGAAGUGUGGAAGUAUAGGUAAGUAUUGUGGUAUAACAUGAAAAUGUGAGCUAAUUACUUAAAUAUGAUUAUAUAUAUGUGUGUUCAAGAUUGGGAGUAUUCAACCUACUUGUAUGAAUUAUAAAUGUUCUUUGGUAAACUAUUUGCUUAUGACUUACUAAGCUAUUUAAGCUUACUGUGUGAUUGCUCGUUCGUUGUUUUAUAGAUUUUGGAAGCUAGUUACGAGCUUGGGGAUAGUCAAAGAAAUCCCUCACACUAUCGAACGAUAUUUUUGUAUUUUUAAAACUUGAAUUAUGAACUUAUGGCAUGUAUAGGCUAGCAUUUGUUUUGAUUGGCCUUGAAUUUUGUAUAUGUGUUUGGCCAUGUGAAAAUGGCUUGAUUAUAAUAUUAUGGCUUGUGUGUAUGUGGUAUGACUUAUACUUAUUUUGGAGGUAUGUUUUAUGUUUUACAUGCUUGAAGGGUUUGGUUUUAUGAUUCGACAAUGAGUAAUAAAAAGUAUGAUGAACAAUCGACCAACAAAUUAGCUCAUAUGGAAAUGUGUUUUAUGGUAUAACUUGUGUAGUAGAUGGAUGUGUAUUUGAAUCGUGGUGCAUGUAUCUAUAAGCUAUGUGAUGACUUUGCUAUAAAACGAUAAAUUAGUAUUUGGUGUGGCUUAUUAUUGACUUAUUUUGGAUGUACAAUUUGUUUAAUGAAUUGGCUUGAAGGUGGUAAAUGAUGUGUAUGCAUUUUCGGUCUUAUAGGUAGCAUAUUUAAGAAGUAUGAUAUGUGGUUAUUUUGUGUGUUAUAUGAUGACAUGAUUCAAAAUGAAUAAAUAGGUAAGAAGACAGAAAGAUGAGUAUAUCAUUGAUGGUGUAAUGGUUAUUUGGCUGCAAUUUGAAAUGGUAAUUAACUACAUGUUUUAAAAUGGUUUGGCUUGAUCAUUUGAGGCUAAAUUUAAUGACCGAAUAUAGGGAUAAUUGAUUUGUUGUGUUUAUGUGUUGGGGCAUGAUAAUUAGCAUGCAAAUUGGUGUACUUAAAAUCGUUGCUUAUGUUCAAAAAUUGUUUAACGUGACUAUGGUAUAAUGCACAUAGGUUGGUAAUGUUUACAAAUGUAUUUGGCUGUAUAGUGAAGCUUGCCUAUGUUUUUUUAUUUUAUUUGUAUUGCUAAUAAGGUGUGUGAAAAGCUUAACCUAAGUAAAUGUGCGCAUAUGCAUAACAUACAAAUUGCUAUUUUUUUAUAAAUUAGUUAAUGAAUUGGGUUAGCCAUGAUUUGGUAUUUGAAUUUAGAAAUGGCUUCGUUUUAGAGUGUUAUGCGCAUGUAUAUAUGUCUUAUAAAAUGAUAUAUUUGAUGAUUAGUUAAAGAUAUGGAUUGUUAUGACUUAGUAUGCAUAUGUGCAUAGUUUAUAAAAUAGCAUGGCUAGAAGUUUGCUAAUGAAAUAAAUAUAUGCAACAGAUGAUUUGACAUAAGCUUAGUAAAUAUGAUGUAAUGAUAUAAGCUUGAAUAUAUUAUAAAUAUUUGAAUGGUAUGAAUAUGAUAGUAAAUAGGUUCGAAUAAUGGGUUUGUAAAGCAUGCAAUAUUUUAUUGAUGUAUGAUAGCUUGGUACAAAUUUUAAAAAGGUUAAGAGUAUUGAUUGAUUGAAUUUUAGAGUGCCAUGAUCUUGGGUCAUAAGGUUCGGCUAUUGGAGUUAUAUAGUAUAUGUAUUAUGAUAUGAUGUAUAUUAAUUGGGUCGAAUAGGUGAUUAAAUAAAUAAUAUUGAUAUGUUUAAAUUUUAAAGCAUAAAUUGCUUAUGUAUUAAAAGUAGUAAAGCAUAAUUGGUUUUUAGUUGGUUAAGUGAUCUAUAUGUGCGAAUGUGAAUUAUAUGAUUUAGCUGCUAGUUAUUAUUCGAGUUUAAAAAUUUUUGGAUUGAGUUAAUAUAAUUUGUGCAUAAGUUAAAAUGAAAGACUGUUCUGAGUUGUGUUUUGGUCGGUAAUGCCUCGGGACCCUAAUCCAGCAACGGAGACAGGCUAGGAGUGUUACACUUUGUAUCGGUGUUAUAUUUAUGGUUCAUGUGUAUACCAUGUUAAUAGAUAGUAUGGAAUGAUGUACUAACCUAUUUGGUUAUGUUGUGAAAGAUAUAAGGUGAUUAUGGAACAAUAAGUAUGUAUGUUAUUUGCAUUAAGUAAAUUAUGAAAUGUCAGGUACGUUGUGCUUAAAUUUUAUACGAACUUACUACGCUUUAAGUAAGCUUAACUUGUUUCAUUUUCUUCCUUGUAGAUUGUCGGAUUCGUGUUAUCAAUUGGAUCAUCUUUGGAGAAUCACACUAUCUGUCAACUCUUUUGGUAGAUUUUUAUCCAUUUUGGAAUAGGUUAUAAAUGGCAUGUAAAUAGGUGUUUUGGUUUCAAAUGUACAUAUAUGCAAGUUGUGGGUUGAAAUAGUACAUGAAUGUUAAACUGGAAUUUUGGCUAAGUUGGUAGCUUUAUGGAUAUGAAAGUCUAUUUAUAUGAAAUUCUUUGAUCUUGCUCCAUAGGUUAUAAGGUACUAUGGAAUGGAUAGGUAUGGCAUGUAAAUACAUUAGAUGUUAUAUGUUUGAGCUCUUAUGUAACACUUUAUGUGAAGUAGAUUUUAAAUUGGUUAAGUUAGGUUAUGUGGUCCAUAAGGUAAGGUUAAGGCAAGUAUUUAUAAAUGCUAUGUUUUGGUAUUUGAAAUGAUGAUUAUGUGAGAAUGUUUAGGUAUGUGAUUUUUGGUAUGAAUGAUGAUGAAUGUGUGAUUGUAAAUGGUUCAAUUGAGGUGCCAAGUGUGGCAUAUUGGUUAGGCAUUUAGGAUGGAUGUUUUAAGGUGUGGUUUUGGAAUAUAUUUUUAUGUUUUUGAUCAGGUUGAUUAAUGGUUAAAUGCUUACUUGUGGCUUAAGUGAACCUAGGAUGUUGUUGCUUGGUUUAGAAGGUAUUUUAGGUUCACACAGUCUAAUACACAGUCUGCCACAGGAUAGUGUGCCAUACAUGGGCAUAUGGCAUGGCUAUGUGGUCUAUUUAAUUUAGGUGCUAAUUGGUCCACACAGCUACAGUUUGUUACACGGCCUGGCAACACAGCCAUGUGACCCAGUCUUACAUGGCUUUAGUUUGUUUCACGGCUUAGACAUACAACCAUGUCUUCUAGCAUCAUAGGGCAUCAGCCUGUCACAUGGCCUGGCCACCCUACAGUGUGACCCAUGUUUUUACUUUUUACUUAUUAUUUCAUAAAAGUUUCAAAUUAGUCAUGAUUUGUUUUUGAGUUGGUUUAAAAGCUUCGUAAGCUCAAUUAAGGCUCGGUUUUGGUUGUAAAUCAUAUUACAAUGAUGCAGUUGAAUGCUUGAUGUUUUAAUUUGAUAUUUAAGUUGAAUUCUUGGAUGAUAGAUGUUGUUAACUGUUGUAACAUCUUGUAGCUCGGGUCCGAAAAUCGAACCAGGUUAGGUGUGUUACAUUACAAGUUUAUUAAAGUUCAAUGGUUAAUACUAUGUCGUGCUACUGGACGUGUCCGACAAUUUUCUAAACUUCACCAUAGACUUCAAUCGUCGUUCACGACCAUCGUUGCCCUUCCAAUUGAUUCCACUUCUUCUGGGAUCUCGCCAUUUAUCACAUUUCUUCGUAGUUUGGUUUCUUACACGAACACAACUGAAGAGAUAUCCUCGAUUGAGGCUGUUAUAGGUUAAAUUGAAUAAGGCAUAACAUUCCUCCCCUAUUGAUUCCUCAUUUUGCUCGAGAUCGAUAGUCGAUUUAAAAGUGGCAAAAAAUGGCCUACCCAAUAGAAUGUGGAUUUACUAAUUUUCCCUAAAGUUAAGGACUACAAAGUCUAAGUUCAUGUAAUAGCCCGAAUUUGGGCCUAGUCGAAACAGUGGUUUCGGGACCACAAAUGUAAUAUUUUGAAAAUUUCUACAGUAAGAUAUUAUCCUUGGUAUAGUAAAAUAAGGAAAUAAAGUAACAAAAAGGGAAAUUUUGAGUUAUGUCAACAUUGAGAAGUAUAUUAUGACAUAUUAAUGCAAUGAAGGAUUAAAUCGCAAAAGUGAGAAAAGUAUUGUUGCCUAAGAGUAAAUACUCAAAAUUUGAGGGGUUAAAGUGUAAAUAUGAAAAAGUUGAAGGACCAAAGGUGUAAAUAUUUUAAGAGUGGAAUGAUCUAGAAACUAAGGAAAAUGGAUGAAUUAGGACCAACUUGAAUAAGAUAAGAAUUAUGAGGGACUAAAUCAUAAUUUUACCAAAUUAAGUGUGACUCAAUGAUGGAAUUUUAAAAGAUUAUGAAGGGAAAAAUGGUCAAUUAGAAGAGAGAGAAAUCUAGAAGGCGAUGAUGAUGAUCUAGAAGGCGAUGAUGAUGUUGGUGAUAUUUUAGAUUAAUUAAUUAAAUAAAUAUUAGUUUAUUAAUAUUUUAAUAUGAUUUUUAAAUGAUAUUUUAUUAAUUUAUUAUUAUUCUAUUUAGUAUAUAUAUGAAAGGAAAGAUGAGGAAUUAUCAUCUUCUUCCCCAUGCAACCAACGUAUGAAGAGGAAAGAAAGAAAGAAACUUUCUUUUCUUUACAAUUUGGUCCUUUUAUAAAAAUUCACCAUUUUCACUUAGAAAUCAAAAGAAUUUCCAUAUCCAUCAAGAGAGAAAGAUAACAAGGAGACUAUGGGGAGUUAGAAUAUCAAGUUACAUUUAAGAAAUAGAAGCUGGAGGAGAGAGAAAAUCAAGUUAAAGAUUGAAAUCAAUUGAGCAAGGUAAGAACAUCAAGAUUUCAAUAUAUUUUUGAGUUUGAUAUUAUUGAAAAGGUAUGAAAUUGAUGUUAAUGUAGAGUUUUAUUAUAUAAGGUUUUAUGUUCUUGGUAUGUUAGUGAAGAGAAAAUAAGAGAAAGUGAUGAGAAAUAGUGUAGAGAAAGAAAAUAAGAGUGUUAUAAACUUAGUAAUCAAUAUUUUACACUAAAACAGUUUGGACAGCAGCAGUAGGUUAACUUUGAAAAAUCACCAAAAAAUGUGGGAAUUGAAUUAGAAGAUUAAUAAAAUAUGAAAUUAAAUCUUAUUGAGUCUAGUUUCUCAUACAAGAAACGGUGUAAGUAAUAGAAUUGUAAAUUAUGAGAUAUAAUAAAUUUUGUGAGACAAUGUCAGAAUGAUUUCGGGUUCCCCUGUUCUGACUUUGGAAAAUCAUCAAAAAUUGAAGAAAAAUAAUUAUGAGUUAUAAUUUAUAUGAUUAGAAUCCUUAAUGAAUCUAUUUUCAAAUUAUAUAAACGGAAACAUCAUCUAAAUUCUUUACAAUUAGAUAAUUCAUUUUUAGUGAAGAGUGGUCGGAACUGUCAGACAGCAAAAUAGGGGAAACUUUAAAAAAUAAAAUGUACUAUUUGGCUGAACCAAAAAUUCUAAAUAUUUUAUGGCAAGAAGGUAUGUAAGUCUAGUUUCAGGGAAAAUUAACGGAUCUUAAUUUGGAUUUCUGUAUCUCAAGAUAUAAAUGAUUUAGUGACUAUGACUCAAAUGGACAGCUUUGAAUAAAUUUACAAGAAAAUAGUGAAAUUAUAGAUAAUGUUACUUAUAAGCAUGUUAUGUAAAUCAAGGAUGUGGAAUGGAGAGGAGGAGGAGGAAAAUAAAUUUAUGAAUAUUAUGCUAGCAUGGAUUUGCAUUUCAAAUGGUUAAUUUGCAUGAUUUGGGCUCAAGGACUAAAUUGAAUAAAAGUAAAACUUUAGGGGCAAUUUUGGAAAAAUGUCAAAAAUGACCAAAUUGCAUGAAAUGAAUUGUUUUAUUAUUUAAAUUACUAAAUUGAAUGAAAUAUUAAUUUAGAUCAAUAUUGGGUGGAAAUUCGAGAAAAAUAGAAAAUUUUCAAAAUGUCCCCGAAUUUUGGUAUUUCUGCAAUUUAGCCUGGUAAGUUCGUAUGAACUAUAUUUUGUAUAAUUUUAAUUGAAUUGAAUGCUAUUUGGUAAUGAAUAUUAUAUAUGUGUGUGUUUGGAAUUGAAUUAUUAUUGGAUGUUUUGAAAUGAUUAUCGGAAGCUCAAUUGGGUUGGAGAUAUAUCACAUUAUCCAUUGGUUCUAUCGGAAAUUUUGGAUGAUUUGAUUCUGGUUAUUGUAUAAGUUAAAUUGGUUAAUGUUAGCUCAUAAAUGUUUUGAUUUUGAUUGGUUAUAAAUAUGAAUGCUUGAUGAAAUAAAAUGUCUGAAAAUUAAUUUGUAAACUCUGGUAAUGCUCUAUAACCCUAUUCUGGGGAAGGAUACGGGUUAGGAGUGUUACAGUUCAAAUACUUAAGGAACCGAAAGCUAAUGUGUUGGGUAUAUGACUUCUACAAUAUGUAGCAUAAUUUACAAUAGUAGAAUUCAUAGCCCAACUAAAUAGGUAAAUGAUAUCCUCUCACAGACAUGACAUGAUAGAUGAAAAGUAAAAGUUAUCACGGGUUGUUUAUCUUUGUGAUAAAGGACUUUAUUACUAUUUGAUAGUAAUUGACUUUUCAUGAAGGAAGAUGUAAUGGUUACAAUGAGAUAAAAUAAGAUCACAUUGGGAGAACAGAUUUAUCCCAAUGAGAUUAAGGAUAUCCUAUGAGCGUAACACACUUAUGACAAGGUCAUUGAACGAACACUGGUUAAGUAGCUUUCGUAAUGGUAAGUAAUUAGGGCUAGCCCAGUCACGAUACUAUAGUGGAACGACUUCGUGAUUAAAUGAGUUUAUAAUUAAUAGGCGAAAAGCUGAAAUUUAAUUAUAAAUCAUUUGAGCAUUAAUUCAUAUGUCCAAUCGGUCCAUUUGCUAGCUUGUUGAAACUGGAAAUGAAUUGUAUGUAGAAUCAAAUAAAUAGAAAUGGAUGAAAAUGAUAAAGAUAACGAAAUGAGUUAUAUUUGCAAAUGAUAAAUUUUCCCCUCAUGUUAUUAUACUAGUAACCAAGUGAGGCAUAAAUGUUAUAUUGAUCAGUUCAAAAGUUUUCCAAACUCGUACUUUUGUAUAGACUAAAUUUCUUUCUCACCUAUGUGAAUAAACACAUUUAUUUUGUUUAUAAUAAUAAUUCAUAAUAAGUACAAAAUAUAUUUAGAUUAAAUAUGAAAAUUAUUUAUAUUAAAUUAAUAAACAGAUUUAAUAAUAGUUAAAAAUAGGCUUUUUUUACAAAAAAAAUUAAUUAAAAAAAUAAAUUGAAGGAAAAACUAUUUAUGAAAUUGAGAUUUUAUUUUUAUCAACUUUUUGUUUUGGUAACAUUUUUUUUUUUCAAAAGGGUUCUACCUGAUACAUUAAUGGCACUCAUUUAAAUUUUUUUCAUUUUUUUCUCCCAUCAUAUAUACACGUGAAAAUAUAAGUAUUUUAAAAAGUAGACAUUGAUGUUAGGUGACGCAAUGGUAAGAUCACUAAAAAUUUCAUCUUUUGGUAGAAAAGUUGGAUGGUGCCUUUGUUUAUAUUGAAUAAAACGUGUUAUAUAGUGUGUGAAGCCCGUAGCCUUCACGGUUUGGAAAAAACGGAGAAAGUUUCGUGCUGGAUUCAUCCCCCUGAAACAAUAAGCGUCAUUCAUUCAUUCUUCCUUCCUUUUCAAAGUUCCCAUCUUAUCCGCCCAACUUUGAUCUUUUGUGUUGUGACACAAUGUUUUUUUUUUAAAUUUAUAUUAUUUUUCAAAUCACUUAAAAUAAUAAAAAAAUUAAUAGAUAACUUAUAUGUGAAUUAUAACGUUAAUAAUUAAUUAAUUUUUUAAAAUUAUAAAAAAUAUUUUAAAAUUUUUUAUUUUUUAAAAAUUAAUAAAAAAUUAAUACAACAUAUACAUGUUGUAUUCCACAUCAUUGUAAUUAAUAAAUAUUAACCAACUAUUAAGCCAAAUUUUACAAAUUUUUUAUAAUUUUAUAAUAAUUUAUUAAUUAAAAUCGUAUUUAUAAUUGAAAUGAGGAACCAAAAUUCCACCACAAUACUUCUCUUGGCCCUAAACGAAUACUCGAACAAUUAUGAUAAAGGAUUACAACGAAACAGAAUGGAAAUUCUCGAGGUGACCCAAGUUGCCCCAAUCUCUAACUCACCAGAAUCAACGACUGAAUUCCGUCUUCCACUCACUUUCUCCGACAUAUUCUGGUUCAAGCUUCCUCCUGUUGAGCGCCUCUUCUUUUACCAACUCGACGAGUUAACCCCUGCCUGUUUCAACUCAGUUAUCCUCCCAAAACUCAAGCGCUCUCUUUCUCUCACACUCGUCCAUUACCUCCCCCUCGCUGGCAAUCUCAAGUGGCCACCAAACGAACCUAAACCCAUCAUUUUAUACACUCCAAACGAUGGAGUUUCCCUCACAGUUGCCCACUCCGAUGCCGACUUUAACAUCCUUUCCAGCGACGGGGUCUAUGAUGCUGCUGAGUUGCAUCCUCUCAAACCUGACCUCGUAACUUCAGAUGUUUCGGCAUCAGCUAUAGCUGUGCAAGUAACCCUGUUCCCAAAUAAGGGGUUCUGCAUAGGAAUCACAGCUCACCAUGCAGUUCUUGAUGGCCAAACCACAACCAUGUUCAUCAAAUCUUG
rnacentral:lncRNA from 1 species